rnacentral:lncRNA from 1 species
UUGAGGGGCCUUUUAAUUCAUAAUCUCAGAACCUUGUCGAUUGAUGAUAGCCAUCUUAAUACUGCUUUUUUCAGAAUGAUCUUGCAAUUGAUCUCUUAGAUCUAAUACUGCAUCGCCACCAUAUCCUGUUGGCCAUCGGUGCUAUUGUUACCCAUGAAAGUCUGUCUUUGAUCUCUAUGCUGAGCAGAAAAUUAGGUAAAUAAAUGGCACUUAGUCUUUAUCCUAAUGGAAAUCUAUACCUUGACUUAAAGUAGGCAUUCAUGUCCACUGUCAAAUUGAUCAUCUGAUUUGAAAAGAUCUUCUGUAGGACAGUCUUGGUAACGGUCGGUUCUUUUACAUGACAGACCUCAUGUUCAUGUUGCAUUAUUUGUUGCUGAAGGAAGUGCAUCGUUCAGUCGCCAUCCAAUAAGAACCAUGACACAUGGAUGAUGCUUCAAGUCUAAUCCUAACGCCAAAAAGUUUUCCCUGCACCAUUGGCAUUCCACAUGACUUAACAGAACCUGUACUGAUUACAAGAUCGAUGCGGUUCAGUGGUAUCAAAAAAGUUCUUGCUUUUAAGAAGGCCUACCAUCCAUUCAUGUUCCCUUCUCAUAAAGCACUAAUCUUCUUGUGACUGGGUAUGCAAGCAAUGCAGGAAAAGCUUUUUCAUAAUAGGAUCAGGUCUGGUAGCUUUUCUCCAUUUCACAUUAUUCAACUACAGGUUUAAAAAAAAAAAGACACCUUCAGGUAGGCCAAGCAAGAAGCUGUGAAUAGUAGACCUGGUCCAUGCUGAGACACGCACCUUUGCUAACUAUUGACGAACUCCACUAAUUGCGUUCAAGAAUCUCCUUGACACAUUCCUUGCUUCUUCCCACCAAUCCCUAGCUAACUUGAUACCAAACUAUCCAGAGAAACACGGCCCAACUACAGUACCAAAGAAAAGCUUCAUUGCCACAGGUUGUUGCAGUAUUCUUCGCUUUUGUCACACCAACCCUAUGAGCGGCACCUAUUUUUCUCAUGCCAUAUGGCAUAUAACUUUUCUUGGUAAAAUGGUUUGGUCCCAUAACACUGCUCAAGCACGUACACACUCAUCCGAACAUGGAAGGAUCUUUCAGCUUUCAUGGCCAUGUUAUGCUAUGUUUCUUCCAAUUGAAGGGUCGACUAUCUUUAAUUUUGUACUGUUUCUCUUGUUUUCUUAAGCCCAAGAAAUCCUUUCUGCUACCACUUGCAUGGUCUUCUUAUGCUUGGUUUCUUCCAGCUGCAGCAACAUCUCCUACCAGUACACUGCUAAAUUUUCCUCUUUUCCUCCCUCUCUCUUGCAUAAGAAGCACUCGAUCCUCUCUUCCUUCUUUCUAUGCCUAUUACUUGAACUAUGUAACUAAAAUAGACUGGCUGUCAUGAUCUCUUUAUUUCUUUGUUAAAAACCGCAUGCUAUUAGAUGUAUCAGAUUUAUGGGCAAGAUAAUUAUAUUCUAGCUAAUGGGACGUCUUCCGCUAUUAAAUUUAAACAUUCUGAGAUCGCAAGUAAACUAAAAUAAUGCAAAACUUUGCUUGAAAAAUCAGAUUAUGACCUAGAGAUUUUUUUUGUAAUGCUGACGACCUGCAUGAGUUCACCGAUACCCAUUGAUAUGGAGAGUAGUUUAAAUGUUUACUAGGGUCAAUAAUUAAAUACAUACAGUAUUUUGUAAUAUUUGUACUCAGCAGGAGACCAUUUCUCCCUUAGAAAUACACGCAUUCCAAUAUUUAAUCCUCAUGCCUGGUAAAACUCAAGAACUAGUCCCAUGAGAUUGAUCAGCACACCACCAAUUCCUAAUCCCUGAGAUGACAAAUAAUAAGUCAACUUUCUAAGCUGUAUUAUGCAAUUUUUUCAUAUUUUCUAUCUGUGUAUACCCUAUUUUUCCCUUGUAGCCUAGUGUCCAAAACUAAACUGAAAGAAGUAUAUAUAGUUGUUAAAGAAUGAGAGUAUGUAUGGAAAUUUUAUGAGCAGAGAUCUGGCAGCAACUUCAAGUACCUAUGCUCUUUCAAAAUGCUCCCUUCCAAUUUACUGUCAACUGUAGCUUUUUAUACAGUAACGAUACGUUAGGUAAUGUUAUGAUAAUCUCAAGAGACCUGAUGUGGCCAGAAAGUCUGGUGAGAAAAAAGAGGGAAUUCCCUCAAAAGAGGAAAACAUGAGGAAAAAGGAACCACAAUAACAAGGAAAAGGCCUCAGGCCACCAACCAUACCAAGAACAAUCAGCUAAAUCUAGGUCCCACACACAGCAAAAAAAUGUUACGAUAUAAUUCACAGAUUUAAUAUCUGACCCAACCUAUGAUUUAACUACAUAUUCUAGUUGAUGAUGGAGGAAACUUUGUAUUCAAAUUCUCAGAACAAGAUCCAACUGUCCAAGCUAAGGCGUAUUUUCCGCUCAUUAGCUCAAAUGAAGCCCACCUCCUCUCCCCAGAGAAAGAGCUCCUUCUCCUUCUAUGCCCUUACUCUAUCAUUCGUCGUCUUCGUGACCGUCCUCUAUGGUGAAGACUUCAGAUGCAUCUUAAGGCAACCGUUUCUGAAAUCCCUACAACUCCAAGGCGCAGAAAAACAAGAAGAAUCCAUAGCAACACAAGGUAAGGAAGCCAAAUUUUUUGAUGAACGAGAUCCAGGGAGGAGUGUCUUCUUGCUUAGUAUACUAACUCAAUAUUGGCCUUAGAGGAGGAUGCUGUCUUGCCGUUUGCCAUCGGAAGGACGGAGAAGAGGUGCGACGUGUUCAACGGUACAUGGGUCUAUGACAAUGUAACAAGGCCUUACUACGCUGAGCCAGAUUGCCCUUUCAUCCAGCCUCAGCUGAAGUGCCAAGCUUAUGGGAGGAAAGACAGGGCAUACCAGAACUGGAGAUGGCAACCUCAUGGAUGCUCUCUGCCAAGGUUUGUGUCGCCCACUCAUAAGCACUUUGUUGUGGAAAAGAGAACUGCGUUCUUCUCUCGGUCACAAUUUUGAGAUGGUAUAACUAAAUUUAGCAUGCUCUUUGCUGAUCGCUACAAAACUGCAGUCGAACUGCUCUCCUGACAGAAAAUUUUUAUUUGUCGAAUGAUUUGAAGAAUUAAUCUUGAAAAAUGAUAUAUUUACAAGUUAUUCAAUAUUUUCCACUCAAUAAGAGGAAAUCAAUUAAUCUACUAGAUAUGUCUGGUUUAUGAAAUAGUAGAGAAUUAGCCUUUUUAGCAAAGAAUUGUAACUGCUAAUAUUAAUUUUUUCACUUUUUCUCGCCUUCUUUUCGUCGCGAAUGUGAGUCACUCCAAAUUGCAAAUUAAUAUCCUCAUCAACCAAGGAAGCUAUAGUCAGGAUAAAUGAUAAUUACUAACUGAUAAUAUAAUUAGUGUAUUUUUUCAGUUUUCUAGACCGUAUUAUAUGUAUAAUCCUAUUAUAAAGCAUGAUAUCUUAGUUUAUUGACUCAUAAAGACAUGCAUUUUCUUGUGGCUGAAUACUGCUCUGAUAGUAUUGCUUUCUUUCACAGGAAAUUAAUUAAGCAGAGAGUUAGAAGGACAAAACGAGAGCUUAUUUCAAAAAAAGGAGGAGAAGAAGAAAAUAAAAAUAACAUGGAUUCUUAUAGUUGACUGAGAACAAAUGAUUACUUUAAUUUGUUUUUUCUAACCAAUAUACUGGCACCACUAAAAGCUUGCUAAAGCUUUUUUUCUUAAAGUCACUUGCUCUUAUAUGUUUAUCUUCAAAAAACCCAGCUGCAAGCUCUUGUUUAUAAGAAUCUAUCCCUGAUUUUCGUUGUUCAAUUUCCUAUCUCAGAAUUCAUGGAAUUUAUCACUGAAGGCUUACACUAACAAAUUAGCUUUUGAAAGUUUCAGAAAUAAACCGUCUUAUCCUCUUUUCUGAUUAUUCUAAUAUUAGAAACUAAGACUAACUGUGUGCUAUAUACUGUUUUCGAUUUGAUUCAAUUGCAUUUGAUCAAAAAAAUCAAGAUGUAUAGCCUCUUCUCAAAAAUAUAUAUAUAUAUAUAUUUGCUUCCAACACUAGCUGAGGCAAAUGGUAAUGAACCAAGUUUAAACUAAUUUCUCCGCUAAUUUCCUCAAGAACACUAAUCAACAUGAAAUAGCUUGAUAUAAUGUUAAAAAAAAAAACCUAUCAAAUUUUAUUAAAAAAAGUAAAACUUUUCGUCAGUAAUGGCAAAUUCUUAGUUAAUUCCAGGAACAAUCCGCUGCCUCUGACUAUAUAAGCUCUCUGCACGGGUUACAGCUUUAAUGCCACCUUUAUGCUUGAAAUGCUCCGAGGGAAGCGAAUGAUGUUCGUCGGAGACUCCUUAAAUCGGGGUCAGUUCCUCUCCAUGGUAUGUCUCCUACAGCGUGCUGUUCCAAAGGGCUUCAAAUCUAUUCAAAUCGUUGGAUCACUUACCGUCUUUAAAGCUGAGGUAAUCAACAGUCCAUUCUCCGAAAGGUGUAUUCUUACUACAAUGUCUUGAGUUGGAUUUUUCUCCUUGCUCUUAAAAUGUAGAACUACAAUGCUACGCUCAUGUUCUACUGGGCUCCUUUUCUGGUGGAAUCAAACUCUGAUAAUGCCAUCGUGCACCGGGUGAAGGAUAGAAUAGUUCGUGCCAGGUCCAUUGACAAGCACGCCCAACACUGGAAGGGAGUCGAUAUCAUGGUCUUCAACACCUAUAUGUGGUGGAUGACAGGCCAAAAGAUGAAGAUAUUGUAACGUCCUCCUCCUAUCAUCUCUCUGCAACAUUGUUUGGUUUGUUGUUUUACUCUUGGUCUUGACAGCUGCGCUUUGUAGGCGUGGGUCUUUCGACGGGGAUUUAAAGGAUAUUAAGGAGAUGGAAACAGAGCAAGCGUAUCGUUUGGCGUUGAGGAGUAUGGUGAGAUGGGUAGAGAAGAACAUGAAUCCAGGGAAGACCAGGGUCUUCUUCACGAGCAUGUCGCCUGCUCAUGAGAGGUAUUCCGCUUCUACCAUCCGCAGUCUUUGGAACGCAGUUUUUAGAGGGAAGAAUGAUGGUUAGGUCGACCGUAAGCAGGUCGGGUUGAAUUGGAUACACAGGCACGAAUCAAACCAAAUCUAUUUUGUGAAUCAGAUCAAAGAAUUAAAUCCAAACCUAAUCUAGUUCUCUUUGAGUUAGAUUAGACCGGAUUUCAUUUUAAUUUUAUCAAUCUAUCAUUUUUUUUGGAUUGAAUCUGAUAAAAGAUAAUUCCAAACAAAAAUCAUAGUAAUCAUAUAUAAAUUGAUUAUCUAGUUAUAUCAUGAGUAUCGGAUGCAAAAAAUAAUAGUAUGCAUUCUACAUAGAAUUUGAUUGAUAACCAUGCAUGAUUAUAAUGGAUAAUGUAAAUUAUUGGCAGAUUAUAUCAUAAAAAGAAGUCUAAUUUCUUAUAUUCAAGGAGGGUUUUGACAUAUAUUGUAUCUUAGUUUUGAAUCGAUGCAUAUUGCUUUCAAUUUGGAUUCUGAAUUUAAGGAUCCAAAUCCAAUCUAUAUCCAAGAUAGAUCAUAUUUUUGACUCUAAUUUGGAUUGGACUAGAUUAAUAUUAGAUCAUUUUCGAAUCAAAAGCUGGUCAAUCCGAUCUGCUUAUGGCCCUAAUGAUGGUGAGAGCGAACAACAUGACUAUCAAUGCUUUUAGGUGCCCAAGUCUAGGGCUAGUGGAUAGCUUAAGCUUCAGUCUCAACCUAGGUUGCUCGGUCCAAGGUAUGGACAUCCUAGCCCAACCCAGUCUAGCCAACCAACCCUCUUCAAUAUUUAGGCCUAUAGUUUUGUUUUGGGACUAGAAUGCCAUUUUGAAAGCUCUCAUUUCCUUGACAUUUACUAUAACCAAAAUAUUGUUGUCUAUGGAUAUCCGAGCCCAACAUGAUGUUGCCUUGCCGACCAAACCCCUCCUACAUAUGCUCUAUGGUUUUGAUGUAGCUUGGACCAGAAUAUCCAAAUGGGCCCUUAUAAUUUUUUAUUUUUUUCCUUGCAGCCCAAAUGCUAGAAUCUAGGCUAGGUUUGGAAAGGCUCUUAAAAAAGAUAAAAUAGAUGGGCCGAUAGAAUCUAAUUCCUAUAAAAUUUUCAGCCCAAUCAUGUAGAAUAUCCAAAUAGGUCCUAAAUGACAAUUAGAACAAGAGGAAUAUUGAUAUAUCUUGCACUUAUUUGUCGUAUAUAUUUAUCAAAAUAUGAUAUAUUUUCAUCAUUCACAAUACCUCGACAUCAUCCUCACAUGUAAUUUUUUAGUAUCAGCAUCUGUUUCCCCUUUUGUGAUAUAUCCGUUACAUUUUUGCAACUUGGUAUGAAUUUUUGAGUAAGACCAAAACAUAAAAUUUUUCCAAAUAAUCUUCUUUAUUAUUAAGAAUUUAAGAGCAUGACUGGCUUCUACCACUAGUGGCUCGACGUGUAACUCGAAAGACUUUGCAGGAGCAUGGAAUGGGGAGGUGAGCCAGAUGGUAAUUGUCACAACGAAACAACUCCAAUUCUCGACAACCCAGCAUACUGGGGAUUUGCUUCUAGUAAAAGCAUAAUGCAAGUUGUCAAGAAAGUUUUAAGCAAAUCAAAAGUUCCCAUCAUGGUUCUGAACAUCACCCAACUCUCAGAGUAUCGCAAGGAUGCACAUACCUCGAUUUACAAGAAGCAGUGGAAUAAGUUGACACCUGAGCAAUUGGCAAACCCUAGAAGCUAUGCUGAUUGUGUCCACUGGUGUUUGCCUGGCCUACAAGAUACUUGGAAUGAGCUUUUGUACACCAAGCUCUUUUUUCCUUAAGAGCAAACAUUUAUGUAUGAAGGGUUAUAUUUUAAUGACCAUAACCCAAGUUCCCUUUUCUUCUAAACUGAUCAUUCUUUUUCUUUCUUUCUUAUAUCCUAUGUUAACAUCCAUAAUCUUGUGCUCAAUGUUAAUUUGAUAGUCAUAAAUUGUUGAUAAAUCGAAAAAGAAACUGUAGAACUGAUCAACCCUGCCUUCGACCUGUGCCUCAAUUGCAAUCAACCUCUUCAAUGACUGAGGGAUUGCAACUUUGUUUCCUUCGGCUACAACUCUUAUUCAACCUCUGCUUACUAUCAUCUGCUAAGUCUCGAGCUUCAGCCAUUAUCAAGAAACUAUAUAGUGUUGCUGAGUUGAGAGAAUGAAAGAAUAUUUCUUAAUAGAAAUUUCUUAGCAGAAUAGGCUUUUCUUAUGUUGGUGGUAGCGGUGUUGCUUGGAGAAAAAAAACUCUUACUCGACGGAAGAAAAGGGACUUUGCAAGAUAAUGCAUAACUCUAGAAUGUUCCUUAACAAAAACUUAAUGGAACAAAAGGUGUUUUGAAGUUGGCUUGCUUUUCAAAAAAUGACAAUCUUUUUUUUUUUUGUUCUGGCUUAUACACAACUAACAUAUUGUUAUCUUCUUUGCUUUCUCAUGGGUUUGUUUGGUUACAACUGACAUCUGCAGUUCUGAUCUGACAAACUCUCUACUUCCUGUAACUCAUCCUCUCUGUAAUUACCAAUUUUUUUAAUAAAGUCUUGGGUGGCUUUUGCCUCCCUUAGUGUCCAAAAAGAUAAAUCAAGAAAAUUAUAGAUGUUAUGUGGAAGCUUUUUCUCUAGCAUAAAUCAUUAUAAUGCCUUUGUAACAACAAGUUCUUUCUCCAAUCAAUUUGCACAACUAGAAACGAAAGAUAUUAGUGAAGCAAGUUUAGUCUAAAUUGAUGUAAAUUUAAAUUUAAAAUAUUUAUUUUUAUGAAAAUAACUAAAUUUAAAUGAAAAAUAUUUGAUUGUUGUAUCAUCAGCAUAUUAAAUAGAUGAAUUUAAAAACUCCGCGCAAAAUUUUUAAUCAAUAUGAUUGUAAUUUCUGACCUUGUCCUUCUUUCUGUUUUCCAAUCCCUUACUUCUCUUGGCUCUUCUAUGAAACUUUAAAAUAGGGCCUGGUUGGCAAUUAGACAACUGCUUCAGGUUUUCUGAGCAAUUAUCUCGUAACAUGUAACGUAAGUUGGAAGGUUUUGCCAACUUACAAAUUUGGGAUUGCAAGAUGAUUACAUGUUCCUUGAGGGGUCUUUAGUAAUUUUUUGUGAUAUACGGGAGUCCCUAGCGCUACCGCUAGCACCAGCCGGUUUCAUUUGAAACAUGUAAAUUUAGAACUGAUAGAUGACUAAAAUACUAUUUAGGUGCUUCCAAGCAAUUCCCUCAUAAGUCGCCGCAACCUGCCGACUUUUCUGGGUACUUGUAGAGUUUGCCGCUUUACAUAGCACUUGUAAAUGUCGGACUUCAAUGUAAUUAUAAUUCUGAUUAGGGUCUCUAAAUAAUUUUCCCAUAACUUUUCCGUUUCGCACCCAAGAAGAAAAUGGUCUCCCCUAGUUCUCCUUCAUUUUCUUCUCCUCCAGUCCGUGAGCCUUAUCCAUUAACUCCUUCCUUUCCACAAACCCUAGCCUCUGGCUUUUCCACAAAUCACCGAGCUCUGCCUCUUCUAAAAUGGUCUAGUGUCCGAUGAGAUAUCGCUUGUCGCUUUCGAAGCCACCGUGUUCUUUGGAUCUUCUACUCACUCCCUUCGAAUUAAACAAGAUAUUUACUCUUGAUGCUCCAAAUUCUCUUUCUUUGCAAUCUAAAAGGAAAAAAGUUUUUUUUUUUCUUCAUCAACUUCUUGCUAUUUUUUAUAGAGUUUGAUAUUUGAACUUAUCGAAGCUUUCAAUUUAGAGUGCUUCCGUAGGCUUCUUUCCUCGAAGAGUUGCCGUAUAGCAUUGAUAAGCCAUAUCCUUAAAUAUCUUGACCAAAUGCUGGUUAGUAGCUCCAGCAUUCUUUAAUCGGUAUGAUCUUGUAGCAGUAUAACCCUUUAUUAGAACUGAUGUCAAUGUAAGGACCCACAUUUUUUGGUGGGCUUGGGCCGGCCCGACACAUGAAACGGGAGGGAGACUCCCGAACAGAGUCUUCCCUCCCCUAUUUCAAUUGCUUCCUGAAUCCACCGGAAGAGGAAAAAAAAACAGAGGAAAAGGGAGAUCAAAUCCUACCUAAUUUGCAUCAAUCUCUAUCUAUACAAGAAUCUAUUCCUCUCCUCCUAGGGCAUCAAGCGAGAGCUCUUUCAAAAAAAGAGAGAGAGAGAGAGAGAGAUCUGUGAGAAGCUUGGGUUAUUCGCCGUCGCGCUUGCUGGAGGAGCUCGCUGGAGGUGAGAUGAGGUCUCUCUCCUUCCUCUCUCUUAGCCGCAGGCCACUAUUCUUUGGGAAUAUGGCCGGUAAGCCGCCGGAUUGAGGAAACCCGAACCUGCUCUCGGUGGCUUGGUCCCUUCUUCCGUUCAGCCGGCCGUCGUCGGGCAUGGCGCACCGCCACGGUCUGACGACCAUGGGGCAUCGCCGGCCGUGGGCUGCUUGCUGCCGAGCAUCUUCGCCCUUUCCAUCGGGAAGAAUGAAGAAGGGAGAGAGAGAAAGGGAGAUUUCUUCUCUUCCCUUUCCCUUUUCUUAUUAUAUGUUUUUCUUCUUCUCUCUCUAGUUGGGGGUUCUCUCCCUAACCUUGGAUCUGGGAAGAUCAUUGUUUUGAGGGUUCUGGAUUAUCAUCUAUCUUGGAUGAUUUUUUUUAAUGAUGACUUGGUUAUGUAGGGGAACAAUCUGUUGGACAAGAGGACAUUGAGUGGAGUUCUGCGCAUUCCAGUCCCUAGAUCGCCGUGAGGGCGAGUGAAUAGUUUGUCUGAGUUUUUCAAUAAGGGUAGGAAUUCUUGUACGCCAACCUACAUGAUAUAAAUACUUUUGUACCAUAUAUGUAUGAUAUGCUAUGAUCCAGAUAAGUUAGAAGUAUAAAUAGUUUUAUAUUAAAUUGUAUUUUGAUCGUAUGGACUUGUGAUUGGUAUUAUGAUGGAUGCAUGUAUGCGUAUAACCUAUACCUACAUAAUUGGAUUUAUGGAUGUGGUGGUAUGGACUAACCAUGUUAUAUUGAUUGCCCUAUCAUGGGCUGGAAACGUGACCAGAGGUCAGAAAUGUGAUAUUAUCGAUUGCCCCAUCAUAGGCUGGAAAUGUGAUACUAUCGAUUGCCCCGUCACAUGCUGGAAACGUGAUACUAUCGAUUGCCCCGUCACGGGCCGGAAAUAUGAUACUAUCGAUUGCCCCGUCACGGGCUGGAAAUGUGAUACUAUCGAUUGCCCUGUCACAGGCUGGAAAUGUGAUACUAUCGAUUGCCCCGUCACAGGCUGGAAAUGUGAUACUAUCGAUUGCCCCGUCACGGGCCAGAAACGUGACCGGGAUAUAGCCCAAAGUCAGAAAGAUAAUUGAUCCAGAUCAAGUUAACAUAGAAUGGAAAGAAAAGGCAUUGAAAAUAGUAAUAAAGAUUUAUGAGCUAUCAUAUGCUAUAUCAUUCAUGUGUGGCUGGACUUUCAUUGAUGUUUGACGUACAUACUUAUAUUGAUUAUUUGAGCAUUUUGGAAACCGUUUAUGAUUUCAUGAAAUGUGCAUCGAUUUGUCGUGGUUUUUCGAAUUCAUAUUACUAUUGUGUUGGUAUGGAUGUGUGGGGUUCUUACUGGGUUGUAAAGCUCACCCCCCUUCUUCUUUUUCUUUUCAGAGUUGCAGGAUGCAUAGAUAUGGAUAGGUUGGGCACGGAGCGCGAGUAUCAAAAUCAUUAGCUUGUUAGUUAGUUUAUCUUUUUUUGAUGUCAAUAAAUAUUUGAAGAUCUUGUAAUUGAACCAAAUUGAUUAUCUGGAUAUGUUGGAUUUGUCAAUUUGAAUAAAUUAAUUAGUUGUGAACUUAUUGGAUUUUUGUUUAUCUUAGGCCUUGCAUGAUCUUUAGGAUACUACUCUAGGGUCCAUGCGGCCGGUCGCGUACCGAUCUCAGGUUCUGAGUUCGGGACGUGACAGUCAAUGAGUUGUUGGCCGUUUUUUGUAUGGUCAUCAAUUCACUGUAUAAGUGUUAGUCUCUUUUUGUUACAAGACUCCCAAAGUAUUUCAAUUGAAUGCUCUUUAAUAUCUCUAUGAAAGUGCUGACAUGAUAGACAUUAUCAUUUGGCUAGGGAGGGGUUUAGGUAAGAGAUUAAAACUUACUAUUGUUUCAUAAAGCAGAGCGUUUUAGAGUGAAAAAAAUAAUGUUCAUUGCUUAGCGCUUUCGAACCUAAAAAUCUAAACUAGCUUAAUUGUUUAAACCCCACUGUUUAACCGUCCUUGCCUCUGGGAGAUGAGCUCUGAAUCCAUUAUCUAUUGUAAAUUAGCAAUGAGCACAAACCACCACGUGAAAUUUUUUUAAUGCAUAUUGGUUUGAAGCAUUAACUUUAUUUUGGGAACACCAAAAGUGAAGCCACUCAAAAAGAGCUGCACCAUGCCAUUCUAUUGUAAAUGAUUCAAAGCAUGUGGCUAAAGGAUGGUAGUGAUAGGUUUUUAUUUGUUGCAAGUUUUACGUACAUGGUCAAAAGAGAUCAAGUUGCUGUCUCGUGGGUGCAGAGAUCCUUUUGGUGCAUCUAUAUUGAUAGAUCUAAGGUGGGACAACUUCCUUGAAACUAGUCGUAGAUCCCCAAUUGUAGUUGUCCUGGUGCUCGUCAACGUUGGCAGAUGCAACCAAGAGUGGGCGCCAAGCUUGACUAAAGAGAGCAGAGCAGGGCAUCCAAGCAGAUCAAAAGCAGGGACCAUAACUUAGCCAUUUCCUUCUCCAAUAAAGUUGCACUUAAAGUGGAAACAGGAAAAGAUCAAGUGGAGCCACCAUAUGUCUCUUAGAUUUUGAUCUAUCCUGGAAUUUUAAGCCUUUUUCCUUGACAUUAUAAAUGUAUAAGUUUUAUCCUAUGCUAUGAUGCUAGGUAGGCUACAUAUAUAUAUAUAUAUAUAUAUAUAUAUAUAUAUAUAGAGAGAGAGAGAGAGAGAGAGAGAGAGAGAGAGANNNNNNNNNNNNNNNNNNNNGAGAGAGAGAGACCUCUAAGUUCAUUGGAUAUGAAAUGGGAAACAGAAAUACAAAGCAGUUACAUGGCUACAAGCCUACAAGUCUGAAUUGGUCCCAAUGGACCAUGCAAUUCUUUAAUCCAUAGUUCAACUACAAUUAGCAGUUUGUUUGCUUAUAGAUGAUUAAUUUGAUAAGCAUUUACUUGAGCCUCCAUCAUUGUGGACAACCUAAUAUUGCUUAGGAGUACCUAGAAGGUUGGCACUUCUAUUUUUUGAGAAAAAGGAAAGAGAAAAAUGAGGUUCACACUUCACCCAAAAAAAAUUCAUGCUAGCAUGGCAAUAAUGUCUGAAUGCGGAUGCUAUGCCAGGAUAUUCAGGAGAGGUUGACAGAGAAAAUCUUCCUCUCAGAAUAGUAUAAGUCUACUAGAAAAUUCAAGGGGGAAAUAAAGUUCUUAACCUUAUGCAGCAAAUCCAAUAAUCAUGGGAUUGCAUUUCUUGAAGUACAUAACAUACCAAUAUCUUACCGUUGAUUUCUUCUUUUGUCUUCGCUCGAGCAUCUCCAUGACCUAAUUUACAUCAAAUCCUAUGCAACAUAUCAGAUGUUGAAUCUAAAAAGUGUGCAGCUGACCAGUUAUCAUGUUCGACAAGACCAAGUUUGUUCUUUCUUCUACUCAUUGAUCAUCUAUUUGUGCUCCUCAAGGAGGGCUCUUCUAGUUAAGUGUUUGUAGUAGGCCACCAGUGGUUUGCUCUGACUAACCUUGUAUCAAUGGCAAACCCAAAACAGAAUAUUUAUGUACUUUAGCAUAGGCUAAGAUAAUGUUAGAAGAUGUUAAUUAACUGAAAAUAAGAAACUCCAUUUUAGAUGACUUCAGCACAUAAGAUCUGAUUUUUUGGAGAACAAUGGUAAGAGCUAUCACUGAUCAGCUCAAAGAUAUGACGUGUUGCUUCAGCAUAUAGUUCAUUAUAGUGAAAUUAUUACACAUUGAAUUACCACCGGUUGACCCUCAUUUAUAUUCUCGAGAAAGUGCACUAGAAUAUGAGGUAUGUUGACUUUUUUUUGGAUGUAUCCGUACCCGAUUUGUAUGAACCAUCCAUUUAGCAAACGAAAAAAACAUGAGGUAUGUUCAGCAAGAAAAGCCAUGUAAUUGAUGCCUCUGAGCUCCAUUUCUAAGACCGACUACUUCAUUGCAUUUGUGCUCAUAAAGCAUGAGAGAUACAGCUGAUCUUAGCCUAAUUGUAAUGUGAUGGCUACAAUUUGCUAGCGUCGUUGUACAUAUUGUUGUUACCAUCAUUUGAUGCAACACUUCAGAAGGUUCUGUUCCUGAAUACAUUGAAGUUUUUAGUAAUUUCAGAGAACCAAUCAAUAGUUAUAUCUCAUAAUCAGCCAUAGAGAAGUUCAGACUUGGAUAUAUCAGCAGUUGUUUAUGUGUGUUUAUUAUUGGAGAAUGGUUUCACCUUCACAGCAAUGGGCAAAAUGGGUAUUCUAAAAUAGCAAAUGGAGAGGGUGGGGCUACAGGAGUUGCUAUCAGCAGUUGUCCACGUCAAAGAUUGAAUACUUCAAGAUUGUUAAGAGUCGCUGUAAAACUCAAAAUUUGACAAAGAGAAUCUGACUUGAUCAAAGGAUUUUAAUAACUCUUUAAUCGCAUGGAUCACGGUAAGCUUGGAAACUUGGUGCUGACUGAGACCAAGUUAAAUUGGUGUUGAAUGAUCUCCAGUCAAUGCAACUUAUCUGAUAAUGUAUUGAAUUAUGCAAUUUUUACUGCAUUAGUUUGGUUAAAUAAACAGAACAAUCAAUAGUAUCAUAAGACCGAAAGCAGCAUUGGUUUCUUCAUCAGUUCUCCUCCUUUGAGACUGAAUCCACUCUUCACCUACCCUGGCAAUCCCCAUGUUGCUCCUUCUAAGUAGCAAAAAUAUCAUUUCCAGGUAAGGCACCUUGAAUUUUCUUUUGAAUGCAACAAAUAGCAGACAAAUGAGUAAUUUUUAUGCGAGACAGACCAUUAGUUCUCUUCUUUCAGAGCAUCCAUCCAUUGUCUAAGUUGAUCUGAGAAUUUCUGUGUCUUUGGAUCAAAUUGCGCACCUAUGUUUUCCACUGAGGACUGACACUUGGAUUCCCUUUCUUUUUAGAGGACACUAGAGUUGAUCCUCCCUCUCUCUGGCCUUUAUGCUCAAGUUCGCUGCUAAACUGAAGUUUGCGUAGGAUGAACCGGGGGCCAGUGAUAGCCAAGAAUAUUUUUGGCGGUGAAUGACUGUGCGGUCAAUUUGAAGAGAGGGCUUGGAACGUGACCCACGGAGAGGGUUGUGGCGAGAAAAAUGGGUGGGACGAGAGAAGGUUUUAUGAUAAACAGGAGACCACGGGGAUCUAUUAAAGGCUGCCUUACCAACUUGCAGCGCAACUUGCAAACCAUGCCAGCCAUUAUUCAAAUUGAAACAGUACGCAAGGGAAGAAAAAAUAAGAAGAGAGAGACGGGAACUUAAGCUUGUCAAUAGAAAAGGCCCCCAACUUGCCUUUCUUUUAAGAAAGUAGGGGACAAGUUGGGAGUUAUCAAGAACAAGUUGCACGGCCAGCAUCGCCGAUCUCCCAUCGAUAGAAAGAUGCACUUAUGGUGGUUCAUGCGUCUCCAUGCAUAACAUUGACAGGGGAGAAUGUCAUAUAUAUAUAUAUAUAUAUACACACACACACAUAUAUGCAUAUAUGCAUAUAUACAUAUAUAUAUUUAUGUAUAGAGAGAGGCACAGAGAGUUUUCUGACCUUCAAAUUUUAUUACUUGGAAACUUUAUUCAGAACAAUACGGGUAAACAUUCAUACAUAUAUGAUCAGGACUAUCAUUUGGUCACAAACGGGCAGUGAUUAUAUAUAUAUAUAUUGGGAGGGGGAGGGGGGGGGGGGCGAAUAUUUAUAUUAAUAAACAACCACCAGACAUAUUUGCUGAUGAUCAUUAAAAAUUAUUUUCCAGCCAUUCUUUCUCUAUCAAAUGCACUGGCAAGGUUGCAUUUGUAUGACAUCAUUGAUUUGAUAAUAGCUCAAGGAUCCCGAAGACCUGCAUAAAAAAGGCCUAUUUGUUGGAGAAUCCAGAGAUGUGAUUUAGUUUUAUAGCCAAUAUUCGUCCAAGUAAUAAUAAAUUUAGUCGAUUCUUGUAUUAGAAAUGAUGAGAAAAAGGAGAAAAAGAUGGUGGUAGAGUAUUAAACUCAUGCAUAUAUAUUAUGUAGAACCAGAGAGGCCAGCAAAGCAAUCAAACCAAUUGAGAAGCCAACUUUAGCACCCUGACUAAUUUACUAACAUAGGCUCCUUGGAGUAAAAGGUUUAAUGCUCUCCAAAACAGCUGCCAUCUUUGAGCCAAAAGAGAGGACGUUCUAUAACAUUUUUUCAUGGUUCAAUGUAACCAGGCAGCCCCCUUCAAGUUCUGGCAGUUUUCAGCCACAGUUUUAUUCUAAUGCAACUCCAUGGCUCUAAUAGGCCACUAUCUUCACACUCUCAUUUGUAAAUCUUAGUAAAAAAAGUUGUUAUAAUCGAAUGCAGCAUCCAUCGCAUGUUGCACCUUGGAUCACACAUAUAAUCAAAAAGAUAACCUUGCUUUAAAAGACAAGUAUGAACAAAUUAGAGAUUGUACCAAAAAAAAAAAAAAUUAAGAGAGAGAAAGAGAGUGAGUGGGGACAUUAUUCACAAUAGUCUAUAGUACUUGUAUCCUUAAAAAAGAGAGAAAAAUAAAAAUCAAAGAGAGAAAAAGGGGAAGAAGAACGGGAAAAAAAGAAAGGAAAGAAGGAGAGGGAGAAACGAAGGGCAUGGCUAUGCGGUACAACGUAGUCGUCGUCCCAUUCCAAGUGGGUGGGCGCGGUGGUCCCCGCGCCCGGGGACGAGCCCCAGGAGACGAGGAAAAACCAAACGAUCCAGCUUGCAAAAAAAGAAGCCCCCGCACCCGGACUUAAUUACGAGUCUGCCCACCGUCGGCGGCGCCGCGCCGGGCGAGGCUCUCGGCGGUGCGAGCCAGCGACUGGAGGUUGCACUUGACGAUGGUGUCCACGAAGACCUGCGUGUCCUCCGUCGUGUUCCCCGCCGGCACGUCGACCACGUACGAUUCCACCACCACGGUCCCCCCGCCGGCCGCGUGGAGGGUGGUCACAGACCGGUAGUUCGCCAGCCUGUGCUCGCCGCCGACGACCCGGAAGCUGAGAACGUGGCUCUCGUCGUCGAGGAUCUCGAGGCGCUCGGUGCUGGUCACCGCCGGGAGGCCGGAGAUCACCUGGACCUCGCGGAGGGUGCCGACGUCGCCGUCGCCGACGAGGACGUGGCAGCUCUUGACGAAGUGCUUGUAGACCUGGGGCUUGUCGAAGCGGCGGACCACCGACCACACCGUCGGCACGGGGGCGGCGAUGGCCUGUACCACGGCGGAGCAGCACUGCCGCGGCCCCACCGCGUGCUCGUGAUGCCUCGCCACCUCCUCCGGCACCGCGUGCGCCGUGCACCGCUCCCCCGCAACCGUCUUGCCGCCGGCAAUCGCCCCCUGGGUCAUGUUGCUUCCGUUGGUGACACCGCCGCCGGGUGUGGUGCUGAGCCUCUGGUGUUGGACGCAGGACUUCGGAAGAGGAGCGCAAGGCAUUACUCGGUACGACGGAGAGAUGGUUAUCGAGUUUGCUUGGGGAGGUUUGUAUACAUAGUGAUGCGUUGGAAAAGUAUGGGGUUAGACGAUAUUAAUUUAUCUAAUGAUUUUUUUAUUGGAUUCAAGGUUUAUUAUUGUUGGUUGCAGUGCAAAUUGAGCAAUUGGGGGGGGGUAUUUUGGCCGGGUUUCCAAGGGGGUUUUUGUAAUGCGGAAAGUGGGGAGGAAGGGGAAGAGGGGGGUGGUUGGAUUAAUUAAAAUUAAAGAGAUUGAUGUUUGUGAGUGAUAAAAUAAAGGAGCAAGUUGUUGGUUGGACGCUAGCAUAACUUACCAUUUCACCUUUGAUUAUUAUUUUUUAUCUUUUUUGAAUUCUGAAUUUUGUUUUUUAUUAUGUUGAAAUUAUGGCUAUGAAUUAUGGCUCUACUUAUCUGGAAAUUAUUUUAUUUGGUAUAAGCAUUGUUCAUUCUAUCUAUUAGGCUUUAAUUGUAAAUAGAGGUUUUUUUCAGCAAAAAAAAAUAAUAGAGAGAGGUUUUGGAUAUGGAUGAAUUAUUAUAGCAUCUUUCUUGAACAUGUGGACUUGAUGAAAAAUGCUAGGUUAUGAAUACAUCAGAUAUCUCAAUACUGGUUAUUACUGAGAUGAUAGUUGCCUAUAUUCUUGUCAUAUACAAAUUUAGUUAGUGCUUCAGUUGUUGUCCUACGUGGGUUAUGGCUCGUCCACGUAGAAAAGUCUCAUAAUGGAUAAUGUAAAUAUCUAAUAAGCUCAUCUCUGUCCUUUCUUGUAUGGCUUGUCACUAAAAUAUAUCUAGUAAAGUUCUGUCCUUCUCGAUAUCAACUAUCCAAAGAUAAAAAAUUAUAGUGCUAAUUGUUAUCUCAAUUUGUCUAUGAUAUGCAUAAUAAAGCUACUCCUUUUUUGAAAAAUAUGAAGCCUAUGGAUCGAGGAUCGUAAAUAUGCCAGAUUGAUCAAGUCAACCAAAUACAUAUGGUCAAUCAAGAAAAAAAAUAGAUUCUUUAGUGGAAGAACUUAAUUAAUUUUUUAAUAAGAUACAAAUAUUGCAAAAAGGAGAAAACACUAAAAGGGAAUUAAUAACUCACAAGUAAAGAAACACAGCAAAGAGAUUAAAGCUGUUUGACUCUUUGGUGGCUGAAUCAUAAUUUUUUUAGUUAAAGAUUAGUCAUACUCUGCCUCAUUCUCAUAUAGAUUCAAAAUUACUCCCGAAAAUGUAGCAAAACAUUGUAUCAUAAAUCAUUUGCACAUUUUAAUAUUCCUCUUAGUACCGAUCUUGGUUUAGACAGACUAGAGCAAUGUAGGUUCUUUUUUAGCCUCAAAGAAAAGGACUUAAUAUUGCUAAAUGAUUAUUAUAAAGAAAAUAGAGAGAGAGAGAGUAAAUGGGUUUGAUCGAUAUGAUUUUGAUUCAAUAUAUAUGUAGACAAACUAAAGAUCUAACCAUGACAAUAUAGAGUAACUCGGUUCAUUUGCUUGUAAGCAAGACUCAAGACGCUUUCUUGACGAUGAGUGACUUAUUUACCAUCGAGGAAGAUUUUGAACCUUGAAAUUUAGAACAAGGCACAGUAUACUCUAUAGGAUAUUGGAUUGAGGUAUAGCGAUGCAUGGGAUUGAUAGAAGUGUUGUUGUAUUGUUGAAGUUGAGAAAGAGCCUCCAUGAAAUCUUCUUACUUCCUUUUAUCAUGAAAGAGGAAGUUAUUUCCGGCUAUAACUUUUCCUCAAGUGACUAAAUAUAGUCUUUCCAAGUAUUAUGUAAAAAUUAAUUAAUUAGACUUUACUCGAUCUAAUAAUUUUUAUCAUUUUUUCAGUUGGUAGAUGCCCGAUUAAUUUAUGAGUGUAAACAAAUAUUACAAUACAAACGCUAGGUGCAUGUCCACCCUAAAGUUUGACCCUUCUCUCCUCGAAUGUCCAUUGUAAACAUACAAUAUCCCUUAAGAAGCAGAGUCUAUUUUGGAGUUGUUUGGGUGCUCAACAUGCAUCUUAGCACAACAUGAGCUACAUCUAAGGUUGAUGAGAUUCUCUAGCUGGCCGGGCAUCAUCUGACUAUCUAGCAACGUGCGGCCACUAGGGAUUGCAGCGGAUUAGGUACGGGUCAGAUAGGCUAUUAUCCAUAUCAUUUCGGUGCAAAGUGGGGCAGGUAGAGUUAUACAGGAUAAGUUGGACAAUAUGGAUCAAAUAAAGCUGCAAAUUUUUUUUACAUAUUAAUCAAAUAAAUAAAUAAAAUAAAAAUAAACUUUGAUGCUUCAUAUAAUAUUAGAUAAAAUAAAAAUUAAAUACAUAAAACAUAACAAACUAAAUUUUUAACAAUAAUAGAAACAUAGCAAAUAAAAUUAUUUGAGAAGUCAAAUAUCUCAUGAACUAAGAAAGCAAAUAACUAAAAUAAUAAGCAGCUAAGCAUCAUGGCAUAUAACCUUUUAUAUGUUCAUUUUUUUCCUCCUGAGUGGAGCGACUAGAGAAAACAAUGAAGAAAAAAUUUGUGAAGAGUAAUUUAUAUCUGAGUCGGGAUUGGAACAGAUUUUAGCAUUUUCCACACCCAUCACAGAUCCACUGUGAGUUAGAUAAAACUCAUUCGAUUAGGAUCAGGUUAGGUCUGAGUACCCAACAAGGUGAAGUAAAUUGCCAUCCCUAAUGGCCACAAGCUUACUGUGGACGGCUAGGGCCAGAGAACCCGUCAAUCAAUUAGCUGGCCAAAACCAUGCAUAAAAAGCUUCGACUUUCUAAGGAUCCAGGCUAAUACAACUAAUUAGCCAAGGCCUAGCUUGGAACUUUCUGAUUCCUCUAUAGUGUUCCAUUUGUUGUGUAAAACGACCGAAUAAAGAUACACCUUUACAAUGCAGGUGAAAUGCCAAUCGAAGGCAUCCUCUGCAGUCACUGAUCGACAAAAGAUCCCAAGCCAAAAGAGGAAUUAUUGGAUGGACUAGGUCCAAUGGACCAGUCCAAAUCUAGAGGCAUGUGUAUGAUGAUAAUAGAAUGAAUUGUCAUCCCAAUUUUGAUUUUGAUCUUAUUUUUAUUUUUUUUUGGUACAAUGGCGGCUCACACAUAACGAGUGUGGAUGCGACCAACAAAAUCAGAAAACAAAAGGCUACAUAAAGGUCCUGGUACGGACCCACUGUCCAACCAGACAAACCUACAAAAGUGAUAAGCUGCAAAGGAGACAAUCCAAAAUUUUGAACUGUUUAAAUACAAGAGGGGGUAACAUGGUGAGUGCCUAUUGAACUGGUUCACUUAGCCUAGUCCAUCUAAUAAUUUCUCGCCACAGCCACACGUGAUGAAAGGAACAUUCUAAGAAGGAGAUGCACAUGACCAACAAUUCAGAAAAUAGAAAAUUUGCUUCUUGUGAUCACCAACGGGUUGACAACUAUUACUUAAUUAGACUUUACUCAAUCUAAUAUUUCGCAUCAUAUUUUCAGUUGGUAGAUGACCAAUUAAUUUAUGAGUGUAAACAAAUUUUACAAUACAAACGCUAGGUACAUGUCCACCCUAAAGUUUGACCCCUCUCUCCUCGAAUGUCCAUUGUAAGCAUACAACAUACCUUGAGAAGCAGAGUCUGUUUUGGAGUUGUUUGGGUGCUCAACGUGCAUCUUAGCACAACAUGGGCCACAUCUAAAGUUGAUGAGAUUCUUUAGCUGGCCGGGCUUCAUCUGACCAUCUAGCAACGUGUGGCCACUAAGGAUUACAGUAGAUCAGGUAUGGAUCAGAUAGGCCAUUAUUCAUAUCAGCUUUGUGCUCAUCUCGGUGCAGUGUGGGACAGGUAGAGUUAUACAGGGUAGGUUGGAUAAAAUGGAUCAAAUAAAACUGCAAAAUUUUUUUUUUUACAUAUAAACCAAACAAAUAAAAAUAUAAAAAUAAACUUUAGUGCUUUAUAAAAUAUUAGACAAAAUAAAAAUCAAACACAUAAAACAUAACAAACUAAAUUUUCAAUAAUAAUAUAAACAUAGCAAAUAAAAUUAUUUGAAAAAUUAAAUAUUCCAUAAACUAAGAAAAGCAAACAACUAAAAAAAUGAACAGCUAAGCAUCAUGUCGUGCAACUUUUUAUAUACUCAAUUUUUCUUGCGAGUAGAGUGACUAGAGAAAACAAUGAAGAGAAAAUUUAGAAAAAGUAGUGUAUAUCUGAAUCAGAAUUGGAGCAGAUUUUAUCACUAUCCACACCCACCACAGAUCUACUGCGAGUUGGAUAAAACUCAUUCUAUUAGGAUCAGGUUAGAUCUGAGUACUCAACAAAGUGAAGUAUGGCCACAAGCUUACUGUGGAUGGCUAGGGCCAGGGAACCGUCAAUCAAUUCGCUCGCCAAAGCCAUGCAUAAAAAGAUUCGACUUUCCAAGGAUCCAGGCUAAUACAACUAAUUAAGCAAGGCCUAGCUUGGAACGUUCCGAUUCCUCUAUAGUGUCCCAUUUGUCGUGUAAAACGACCUAAUUAGGAUACACUUUCGCAAUGCGGGUGAAAUGCCGAUCCAAGGCAUCCUCUGUAGUCACUAAUCGACAAAAGAUGGACCGGUCCAAAUCUCGAGGCAUGUAUAUGAUGAUAAUAGAAUGAAAUUCUCACUCCUGUUUUGAUUUUGAAUUGUUUAAAUACAAGAGGUGUGACAUGGUGAGUGACUAUUGGACUGGUCCACUUGGCCUGGUCCAUCCAAUAAUUUCCCGAGCCACGGCCACACGUGAUGAAAGGAACGUCCUGAGAUGGAGAUGGACAUGGACCAGCAAUUCAGAAAAAAGAAAUUUGCUUCUUGUGAUCACCAACGGGUUGACAACAACAUGAUCAUUGACAACCCUUGGGAGACGCGGGCUAGCUCCAAAUAAGUAGCCUUUCUCGAGAUAUUGAAUCCGGCAUCUCACUAUAUUCAGCCAUAAGUACAUCCGAAUCUCUCUCAAGAAAAACUCGUCGAGCACUCAGAUACAUUCUGGCCUGAAUGAGGCCCUCUAUGGCGGGCUUUUAAGAUGCCUAUUUCAGUUAAAGUUAUUUUUGCUUGUAGUUUGAACGAUUUUCAUGAAUCGAGUUUCUAUUAGAUAACGAUGGGUUCGCCGUGCCCACCCCCUCUUCUUCUCAAGAUGGAAAUUUCUAGUAGGCACAAGGAGGUGACUCAAACUCUUUUACAAUUCUAAUUGUAAGACAUCCUUAUUAACAAAGUAUUUGUUGUCAGCAGGAAGAAGCUCUAAGAAAAUUGGCUGCGAAAUCUGUCACAUACCCAUUUUAUUUCCUAUGACUUGGGAUCCACUCUUGGAGGUGACCCGUUCCCCUUUAGCUAUAGAAGUUUGAAACUGACCUUGGGCCAAACUCCGCUUGAAUCGGCCCACAGCGUUGUUGCACGAGACUCUGGAACAACCUAGACCAGGCCGGCACUACAAAAAAUGGCAAGCCCAAUAGUCACCAACUUAGCCAGAUUCUCAUGAAGCGUUGAUCUGGUAAUGAAGUGGUAUCCCUUGUAUAGCCGAUAUCCUUCUUUGUAUCAAUUAGCAGUAUUGGGAAAUGGGAACCCUAAUACGAUACAUGAUGAAUCUUGGUCCUCAAUAAUUAGGUUAAAAAACAAGAAAGAAGAGUAUCAAAGUAUUAAGCUAUAUGAUAUACAAUAACAUCAGUUGAUAUAUUCAAUUACCCUUUUUAUUUUUAAGUAUAAUUUUAAUUAAAACAUUUAUAUCAACAUCUUCGUACAUAGUUGCUAAUCUUGGAAUUGCCAUAUCAUCUCAGACUUUGAUAAAUUAUCCUGAAAUAUCUGCCAAGGUCUUAUUCCUUUCGACUUGUCCGAUGUUCCAUAUUGGCCAAGAUAAACCAAGUUUUAGAUUCAUAUUGAUUUUGGGGGCAUCCAUAAUACCUCUAAUCCAUGGCCUUAUAUUAUAAACAAGCACAAAUACCAUUACAUCCUCCUUAAUUUAAGUAUAAAAAGCCAAUACUUGAGCACACCCAGAAUAUAUAGGCUGGACCCGGAAGCCCUUAGAGCCGGGAUAUCCUGGGAUGAAGAUAUCCACGUAAUCCAUGCUCCUGUAUAGAGCCGGAAGGAAUUUGGAAUUCCAGUUUUGUCUCCAGGGCAGGAGAUAGAAAAGGCGCGUUUUAUGGAGGAGGGAGUGUUUAUUUAUCACCGUGGGAGGGAAGCUCCGAACCUGCGGUUCGCGCGGCGCGUUUGCCGGUUUCGCCUCGCCCUCUCUCUCCCCUCUCAGAACCUGGCGAAAGGGGAACCGUGGGAUUUUACGGGAGCAUUUUUUCGGGGGGCUUAGGGAUCCCCAUUCGCCCAUUCUCCUUCCCCUUCUUUAGAUUUUGCUCUGUGUCUUCGAAGCACAAAAAACAUGAGAAAUCAGGGAGAAGAAGAGCUAGAUUCGGUUGUCUUUCUGUGAGAAAUCUCUCUCUCUCUCUCUCUCUCUCUCUCUCUCUCUCUCUCUCUCUCNNNNNNNNNNNNNNNNNNNNCUCUCUCUCUCUCUCUCUCUCUCUCUCUCUCUCUCUCUCUCUUCUGCCUCUUUUUCCAUGUGAGUAUCCCACCUAUGUCGUUUCAGUACGCUCGUCUAUUUCUUAUAUUUGAUGAUGUGGGUGCGUUUUUAUAUAAAAGAUUCGAUUUUGACAUCGAUUUCACCAUCUGUUUAUCAGUGGGACUUUUUUUCACCAACAGUUUUGAUUUUGAUCGGUUUUCUGAGGUGAGGGGGCUUGUAGAUUGUUUUUCUGGAUGGCAUUCAUCCUUUGGUUCUGUAGUUCUCCUCGGUUUGUUGAGCGAGACUUGCUUUCUUAUGCGGAAGAAAGCUAAUUAUUUGGUCUAAUGUCCGAAUUUUUCCCCCUAAUUUUUUGAAUGGUUUGUUGGCCUGGCAUUUAUUGAGAUUAGAUCCAAACGCUUCACCCAUUGCAUCAAUGUUCAUAGAUAGAAGUAAUUGAGAAGAUCUUAGGAUGAGGCUGCUUGCUUUUAUACUUCAAUCUCGUUUGUUGGUAAAUGUAUCAAAUUCUUUUGUUAAUGGUGAUGUUUCUGUAAACAAAUGUUUCAUUCAUUAUUCUUGAACUUUGAUAAAAAAAAACAUGGUAUAAAGGAGGAUAAAACUGUUAUUAUUGGUUAUGACGUGAAAUUGCUUGUGUCUUUAUCUCUUUAUUUAAUUAUUGUGUGUGGUAUUUGAUUGCGAGUGGUUGAUUUAGGUUGGCCUUCAGAAUGUUUGUUAGAGUAAUAGAAGUUUGUUUUCUUAAGUGAAUUUAGUUUGACCUGAGUCAGUACUUCACAUCUUAUUUCCUAGAAGAGAAUUGACUUAAUUUUCUCUAUUCUCUUUUUUUUUUGGCUGGAAGCGUUAAUCUUAAUGUUCUACUUCUUGCCAGGAUAUUAUUAAAGAAGAAACUAUAGAAAAAAGGAUAUGGCAUUUGGGGCGAAGGAAAACAUUUUAUAUAUCAGAAGACCUAAUUACAGAUUGUUUUGCAAUCAUCUGUUCAUUAUCAGUUUUUUCAUCGUUAUACUUUACAAAUUUUUUCCUACUCUAUUUGCUCUUCUUGUCACUUCCUCUCCCAUCACUAUCUGCACUGCCCUUCUUCUUGGAAUCAUUCUCACUUGUGGUGAUAAAAAAACCCCUAAAAUUGAUGAGGAUAGGAAGACUCAGAUAUUUUCUUCUCAUAAGACUAGGGUUUUUCCCAAUGUGGAAAGUAGAAGAAAGGUUAAAAAAAUGACAGUCAGAGAAGCAGUUUCUCAUGAUGAAAGGGCUACUGAUAAUAACAAGGCAAAGGCACAAAAUGAUAGAUAUGGCUCGUAUGAAAAUUGUAUGGCUGCAAACUCUUCAGUCAAGCAAGACAAGAGAGGGGCUUAUCGUGAUAAGAAGGUGACUGAAGAGAGGAAAAUUCAUGAUUGCGGGUUUGCUAAGAAGAAAGAGGUUUCUGCAGAGGGGCUAGCUAAAGGUGUAUUGAAAACAAGAGAGGAUAUUGGUAGUCUAACCACCUCGGACCAAAAGAAUUCUGAGGGUCUUAAGUUGGAAGGUGAGAAGUCCACUUUGAACACUCGCCGUCAUUCUACUUUGCGUGAAGCUUGGGAUCAUCUUGACCGCUAUGAUGCUUCUUCAAGUUCUGAAUCCGAUCAGGCAGAGUGUUCAUCGCCAGAUGCUGCUUCUAUGGCUGACAUCAUGCCAAUGCUAGAUGAGCUUCACCUGCUUUUAGACUCUGAACCUCCUCAACCUGCUCUUGUAUCCAAAGAAAACUCAGAUGUUGCUUCCAUACAGUCCUCAGAUGUUGGUAGUGUGGAGGAAGAAGCCGAAAACGUGGAGGAUGAAGAUGAUGAAGAAGUGCAGGAUGAGAAAGAUGACAAGACCAAAUCUGUGGUAUCUUGGACAGCAGAUGAUCAGAAGAAUCUUGUGGAGCUUGGAAAAUCUGAGAUGGAAAGGAAUCAGAGGUUGGAGAGCUUAAUUGCAAGACGAAGAGCAAGAAAAUUUCUAGAGAAAAAUUUAAUAUGCUUGGAUAAUAACGACUCACUGCCAAGCAUAGAAGAUCUAUCGCGCUUUCAAAUAGAGAUUCCAUCUGUUUUUCCACCAAGACGAAACCCUUUUGAUCUUCCCCAUGAUUUAGAUGAAAUUCCUCUUUCAGCUCCUCCUAGACUGGUGCCAGGACGAAACCCUUUUGAUCUUCCUCUUGACCAAGCAUAUGAAAGUAAUAGCCCUCCAAUGGAGAACUUGAGCCAUCAAGAGGUUGUCACAGAUCCGCAAAGGGAUAUGUUAUUAAGAAGGCAUGACAGCUUCACUUCAGGAGCAUCAUUUCUUGGGGAUCUUAGAGAAGAGAGGCGUGCCUCUAGGUUGAAGCCCUUUUUUGUUGCAGAGAAGAAGGAUGAAGAGGAGACAGAUUUCAAUGUCCCAAGACAAUCAAGUGAAGGGAGUGAUUCAACAGUGAUCUCUCCAAAAUCUUAUACAAUUCAAGAUCCUCUUGCUAACCAUGACACCAGUCCUGCUGAGCGAGGAAGUCAAUCCUCUGAGGGUGUUGAUGAGGUGGAUGUCAAACAAGUAGAAAGCAAGAAAGCAAAACAAGCUGUUGAUAGUCAUAUUACAAAUCCCGUCUAUGAUUCCAGUUCAUCAGCAACUGAGAAAACCAACUGAUUUUUUAGCACUUGAUGAAGUUUCCUUUAAUACAUGUACCAGGCUUAGUUAUGUUGAGCAAACAAUAGCUGCAAACUCCCUUUAUUAUCAAACUUUCUAUUAUGCAGGUAAAAAAGGUUUCAGUUCUAAUUAUUCUUCAACAUUCCACAUGCUAACAGAUAUCUCAGGAGUGGGUUCACCUCCAAGGACAGCUGAGAGGAAUGUUCUUGGGGAGAGGAAGCGCAAGAGGGGAUCUGGCAUCUGCUGAAGUUUGGGCUGCAUUGAGUUUAGCUUCCAUAGAGGAAAAUAAUUCAGGACCAGUGGAGGAAUUCUGAGAUCAGAUAGCAUGACUCUAGGUCAUCCAGUUGUACCAAUAUUACUAGAGGCAGCUGCAUGUACUUCAUAUCUUGUUAGAUGUUCAUCCGAAGAUUUGUUGACAGAAUGUAACUAUGGCUGAUUCAGAUUAAUUUCUUUUGUAUAAUCAGAUUUUGAUACUUCAAUUUUGUAAUUAAGAAGUCUUCCUUCGUUAUGAUCAUGACCUUUAGAAAACAAUUUAGGAAAUAUGAUAACAAACAUUUUCACUAAUUUAGGCCGUAGACAAAAGUAAAUCUAUAACACUUGAAGAUAUCACAAGCCCUGACUUCAAAUCAAAUAAAAAAGAAAAAGGGAGGGAUAAAUAAGAAUCAGAGGGAAGUGGCUUUGAUUGUUUUGGUUAUUUCUUUUGAUUGUCAUUCUUCGGAACAUGCAAACUCCUAUCAGAACAAGAGAAACCAAAAUGAUACGCAGUUCAGCAUUUUUAAAUUUUUGUAUUUGUCUUUAUUUGCUCUCUCAAUCAAACAAGAGCCUCAUUAUGGUUGGGUGAAACAAUGAACUUGUUGCAAUGGCAUUUAUACAUUGUCUAUCAGAUUCAUAUUGCUAGCUUCAUUCACCCACCCAUUUGUAAGAUUCUUGGACUCGAGCAUAUAUUACAAAGCCAAAUCUUAGUGUCGGUAUGUGAGAAAACGGAUAGAAUUAAGGCAAGCUUUCUAACUGCAAAUCAAGGAAUUGCCGAAACAACAUUAGUAAACCUUAAUUAUCUGAAGAUAUGGAGAUUAUAGAAAUACAAAUGUCGACAGUGACUGCAUUUGAGUUGGACUAGAAGAGUCUGUCUCCUUCAGGUUUUGUAUGGAAGUCUACUAAUUUUCACCUGCAAAUGUUUGCUUCACAAACCAGCGUAGACUGUUCAUGAUAUCUCAAAGGAUAAAGGUUGUUUUUCACAUUGAAGUGGUUGUCCUGUAGCCAUAUGCUAACUUGUUUUGUUAUUUUCAGAUUUUGCCAUUUCAUUAAUCAAAGAUGGUCAGUAUCUGAUUUAGUUUUCUGUAAUAGUAGAUAAGUAUUAAUUACUUGAUAUAUUUAUCUGCCAUCAAAGAGACUACGGGUUACUUCGUUGUCCAUCUGUAGUUUACCAAAUCACUGCAAACACUCAUUAAUAAAAGAAAUGCUAUCAUGUGCAUGACAUUACAAAUAUCAGACAACCUCUCGUCCUAACCAAGAAAAAUUCCGAGUUUUAAAGCUUUUCACUCAAACCCAUCUCCCAAGCAUGAAUUAGUUUGGUUUUAAAUAAUAUCUAGUCCGAGGAUAGGUCGUAUUCGUCGUGUCAUUACUAAUCAAUGUGGUCUUUAGUAAUUCAUUGCAUGAUGAAACCAGAGUUAGCAUAGAUGAAAGGUGUUUCCAAAUCUCGGGACACCACAAAAGGUUUCAGAAUUCAGACGCAUAUCUGGGUUCCAUCCCAAAAAUCCUGCUCUUAAACAAAGCACGAAAGCUUAAGGAAAACAUUUGCAAUACAUGUUCCAAAUCUUAGUUACGAAUAAUUAAGUGGAGGUUUUGCGUAGCAAAGAAAUGGGCACUGAGACAGGAGCGGCUCACUGCAUUUGGGGGCCUAAGGCAAACUCACUAAGAGAGGUUUUUUUUCUCUUUUGUCUUUAAGACCUUCUCUGCAGUGGACUGGUCUAAGACAAAUUCACUAAGAGAGACUUUUUUCCUUCCUAUUUUAUCCUUAAAGCCUUUACUGCGAUAGACCUUCUUUAGGCCGGGGCUUUAGGCAACCUCCUCAAUCGCUUAAGGAUUGGGUUGGCCCUGCACUGAGAGACAGACUGAGGACCAAGUAGGGGGGAGUUUCUCACUCCCUCCAUUUUCCAUCAAAAGAAAGGGAUGACAAAGCAGCAAAAGAGGGAGCAGCCCUCUCUUCAGGGCGAAAUUGUUGUACCUGCCUUCAUGCCGGACUUUGCGACGCUUGGUUUCUUCUAUGGAGACUACAUGACCCCACAUGAAACCUAAACCAGAUUUUUAUAGCCACAAUCAUAGAUAAUUUGAAGAUUUAUACUUUAUUCGCCUAAGUCUGAUCAUACCCAUCGGCAUCCUCCCACCGACACGCAGGUUUUCUCCGCUUGUGCUUUCCAUAUGUUGGCGGAAAGUGGGUGCACUUACACUUUAGAUACUAGAAUAAUGAUAUGACAAAGAGUAAGUAGUUCGCAAUGACACUUAUAAAGAAUUUUUAAAAAUGAAAAGGAAGGAUAAGAAGAAUGGUGCUGGAAAAUUUUGAAUUUUUUGUUUUGAGAUUGUGAUCUUUGCAUAUGAGAGGAAAGAAAAGAAAUUUUUUUUUUUUUGCAUGAAUAUUCUUCUAAAUAUCGAAUUUUGUAUUAAUAUCUUUUCAAAAUUGAUAUUUAUAUGUAUACCAUCGUAAAACACUUAUUUUGCUAUUGUAUUUUUUUUAUUCUUAUUUUUGCAUAUGUACCUACACCAUCUAACGCCGUUAAACGGUUUCAAAUUAAAAUGACUAAAAUAUUUUUAAUAGGUACACGUGUAAAAAGAAACAUUUAUAAGAUAGUGGAAGAAAAAAAAAAUGCAAUUUCAAAAUUUUAUUUUAUUUUUAAUUAAAACAAAUAUGGUUUUUAUUAACUAUGUUAUAAGAAUUGUUAUAUUUGAGUCAUUUGUAGAAACUAAUGUUUUAUGCAGAUAUAGUAAUAAAUAUAAACUUGAAGAAAAUAUUCAUAUAAAUUUAAAUUGUUAGAAAGGUAUUUAUGAAAAAAAUCAAAAAAAAAAACAGCAGAGAGGAAACAGCAUGGGUGGAUCUUCAUGUAACUGAAGCUGAGAAUUAAGCGUAUGAAAGUACGAUAGACCAAUGAAUUCUUUUUAACGGGUGCAAGUGUAACAAGACUUUAACAUGAUGAAAUUAAUGAAGCUGAUGUGCAACUUUCAACCUAACUUGGCUCGUAUUGUCGUACAUGACACGCUUUUAUUAGUGACAGUGGCGCGGUCUUGCAAGCAGGAAGAGGACAAAUUUUGAAUAGAUCCGGUCGGCUGGCUCGGUCCAAAACAACAUGAAAACAAUAUUCUAAAUCAAAAUAAAUUUCGGAGUUGUUAAGCACCAGGAGGUAUCAGCCAUGGGCCCAUUGUUGGAACUAAUAGAGGUCAACCACGCCUAGCUUCCAAGUCAACAUCCAAUCUAAGCGGUCUCGAAUCAAGCAGACUCAAUCAUCCCAACUAAAGAUACAAAAAACUGGAUCACAAAAUAUUAUAAACUACUAAGAAUCUCAGUGGAUAAUUUUCUUUAAAAAAGAUAAAAAGAGAGAGCUUGACACGGGCUUAGAUUUUAGAAUGCGAACGGUCGGGCCAGGGUGGGGGACCUUCCAAUGAACUAAAAUGUUGAGGCUCCGGAGCAUGCGAACGGUCGUUGGUCCACGUCAGCCAACAAAUACCGUUCCAUUGUCUCAUGGGUGGACAGCGGGGUCCACGGCAACCGAGUGACUUUUUAUAUUAUUUUAUUUAUCUGGAUUCUCUCAAGUCUCAAUCUCCCCGCAGAGCGUCUGUAAGAAAGAGCCUGAAGAGCGCCUGGCCCUUUUGCUGAUCCCAGACUACCGCCAUUAAACCCCUUUCCAAAACCCAGGAAACCUUGCUCAAAUAGUAAGGAACGACUCUUCUCUCUCUCUCUCUCUCUCUCACGGUAUCCAGAAUGAAGAAAUGGAGCAGGAAGAAGACCCAACUCUCCCUGUUCUUGGCCUUCUUCUCCUUCUUUAUGUUCUCCUCUUUUCUCAACGAUCACCGCCAGAGCACAACUAGAAAACUGCCGGACUCGAAGCACUCCUCCGUCCAGCCUUCUUUUCCUACAUACUUCACCAUCAACACCUCCAACCCCGGAACCAAGAAGCCGGUCUUAGGUAGGCCGGUUCCUUUGGAAAAGCUUUACUAUUUUCUUGGUUUCUGUGCUUUUUUAUUAAAAAAAUGGUUUCCUUGGCUGCGAUGUCGAUAUGAGUUUUGGGGGUGUGGGUGCUUCGAUUGAUUCACGUUGUGAUUGAUCUAUUUUUUUAGAGCUUCUUUUUUUUUUCCUUUUGUUUUUCCGAUCUUCUGUGAUGAAACUCUGAAAUAGAUUUGAGUUAGUAUGGAAUAUCUAAUAAAGAUUUGAAAUUUUUUGAUUUCUUUUUUUUUCCGCGGAAAUGGGUUUCGAAAUUUUGGGUAUCACUGGUGGUCCCCUGAAUUGAUGCUUCCAAUCUCGUUUGAUUUCGCUGGUUUUGACGUUAUUGGAUUGGUACGUGGAUUGAUGCUUCGAGUCUUGUUGAUUUAUUUCGUUUCGAAACUCGUUGGAAUGAAAUGCUAAAAUAAGAUUUGGGUUAGAUGUGCUUUGGGUUGGUAAUAUAAUCAUCUGGUUUCUAUUUGCAUCUUUAGUUUUCUACUCUGAAAUGGUCCUAUUGGAUUUCGGGGUUUGACGUGCCUCGAAGUGGUCCAUGUAUUCAUGCAUCGGUUAUGUUUAUUUCCUUGGUUUUCAGAUGUCUUUGGGCUGGAAACUUCGAUGCUAAAACAGCUAUUGGGUUUAAGUGUGCUUUUGAUUGGAUGCGGAAUUACUUGUUAAUGCAUCAAAAUUACGUUGCUUUCUUUAGUUUUUGAUCUAUUUCCACUCAAAUUCUGAAGGGAGUUUGUCAUUUAGGUGCUUCAGAUUGGUCCAAGGCCUGUGCUUCUGCCCGGAGCUACAAAGGCAAGUCGAAUUCAGUGAUGGAAAACCAAUGGCAGCGUGAGAGCUGGUCAGAUGGGUGUGAUGUCUUCUCAGGAAGAUGGAUCUAUGAUAAUAUCUCGUACCCUCUGUACGAUGAGGGCACAUGCCCUUAUAUGUCUGAUCAGCUGGCAUGCGGGAAGCAUGGCAGGCCGGAUAAGGAGUACCAGAAGUGGCGGUGGCAGCCCCAUGAUUGCAACUUGAAGAGGUAUAAUUCAUAAGAAAGGUGUCUUUUAUGUGCUCAGACUGUCAUAUUCACUGCUGAGGCAUGCACAGAUUCUUCUUCCAGACAGAGAUAUGUGUGGUUGGUUUUAGUCACUGCGGUCACAAUCUGUAUAAGUUGAUUAGUGGGUGUUGGUUGGUGAUGGGGAUACUGCCUUACUAGAACAUGCACAAUUUGAAAUAAUGAUACUGAUAUUUUUAAUUUAAAAUGAAAGGAAAUGGAGGAGCUUAUCUGUUUUCGUAAAUGGGAUUGAUGAAUUUAUGAGAAAACUCCAUGGCUUCUGGAGGGAGAAACAGGAAGAUAUGCCAAACAAAUCUGUCUUGACAAGAUCUGACAGAGAGUGUUAGACACAACCAUGAUGGAUAAGUUGGGUAUUUAAUGUUGUGAUCAUUAUUGAUGCACCUGUCUGAGGAUAGAUGCUCUUAACUACCGAAUCAUUAUAGUAUUGUUGUUUAUUCAGAUAAAUCAGCUAGAAUUAUAAAGUACUGACUAUUGAGUUGUUACUGGUGUAAUUUUUGUGUUUUACAUUGUGUACUUGUUUGAUUCAAGCUUCUUGGGAAACAUGUUUGUUCUUUUAGAAAUUUAUAAAGACACUUGUUCGUGCUUCCUGUUUCAUGCAUUUGUUUUUGCUUUUAGGUAACUUGCUGUUCACAGAAGUCAUCAAUGUACUGUCUCUCACUCUCAUAUAACCAUGUUUUAGCUCCAGUUUAGAAUGGCUGUUUUGGGUUAAGUAUUUUCUUUGCAAAUGAUUUGUGCUGAGAAUGGAUGUUCUGUAGAUCCACAAAGUUUACGCAUUGUAUUAUUCAUCAUCAAAUGAAUAAACUAUAAAUAUGCGAGAGUAACUGCUAGAUAAUUUUGUUAUAUGUAUAUAUAGGUUAAAUUAAUAGGUUGUUUAACUGCUUCUUUCUUAUGUGAUAUAAUAUUUUGGUCUUUUCUGUUUUAUGAAACAAUUCCCCAUGUGGUUAUAUAUUCUUUUGAGAGGCCUUAGAUAUUAGAUGAAGUGGAACUUUUAACCAUGAAGAAUCGAUAUCUAUCUACCUUAUAUUGUUGGCUUAUUUUCAACCAUUCCUCAUGAUUUAAAGACUCUUUUAAUUCCAGAAGGAACAUAUCAAUUUUAAUGUUUGUGGUCCAUGUAAUAGACACUGCUUACCAUGUAAUAUCAUUUUCCUGUUUUAAUUAAGGCAUGUAAGCAAGGAAUGUGUAGGAACAGUUACCAAGAUCUAUCUUAUGUUUUAUGAAGGUGGAAUGCAACAGAAACGCUGGAGAAGCUGCGAGGCAAGAGGCUGAUGUUUGUUGGUGAUUCUCUAAACAGAGGCCAAUGGAUAUCCAUGGUAUGCCUCAUACAAUCUGUGGUUCUGGCUGACAAGAAAUCAAUGUCACCCAAUGCUGCCUUAACCAUAUUCAGGGCAGAGGUGAGCUGAAUUAUUUGUAAUUGUAGUCCCUUCUUUUUUAGAUGAGAUGACAUAAGCAUACGACAAUGUUUAUGAUCUGAAAAGAUAGAAUAGCUCCAUGAUGAUCCUUCAUUACACAACUGUCUGAAGCAGGGAGGGGUUCACUUUAUGUGACAACAGUAUCAUGAUUUGCAUGCCAUGAAGCAUUGAGUAAUUUUCAAUGAUUAACUGGCAUAUUUCUCUGUUCAUACAGAAUAAGCUAUGUUGAUAUAGAGAGGUACUGCAUAAUUAUCAAUUACUUUCAUUACAGUAUUAUGUUCAUACCUAUCUGUUGCUCUAUUUAUAGAGCAAAUAUUUUGUUUUUCCUAUUGGUCUCACAAGCUCGCAAGCUGAAGUUUGCAUAAUAACGCACUCUUUAGUUCUCUCAUAUUUGGGGCGCAUGUGUUUGAUGAACAGGCAAUGAUUGGGUCUGAAGUGGAAAUUGGCAGUCAUAGUAUCCUAAUUGUGAUUGUUUGUUGUGCAGGAAUACAAUGCUUCAGUUGAGUUUUACUGGGCACCGCUGGUUGUAGAAUCAAAUUCUGAUGACCCAGUUAACCACAGAUUUGAUGACCGGAUCAUCCAACCAGAUUCAAUUCUCAAACAUGCAUCUCAGUGGGAGAAAGCAGAUAUUCUUGUUUUUAAUUCAUACUUAUGGUGGAGAAGUGGUUCAAAGAUAAAGUUACUGUAAGCUUAAUUCCAGAACUUGCUCAUAUAUUAAAUUACAAAAAAAGGAUGUAAGAUGGCAUAGUUUUUGAUGUUUGUUCAUAGUUUUAACGCAGAUGGAAUAGGGAUGAUGUGAUUUGUGAAGAAGCCAAUGGACUGGAUGCUAUGAAGUUGGCCUUAGAGACAUGGGCAGAUUGGGUUGCAUCCAGUGUUGAUCCCCUGAGACAGAAAGUAUUCUUUGUUACCAUGUCACCUACCCAUCUCUGGUGAGUUCAUAGAUUGUAUUUGCAGAUAGCAUGUCAUAUAGUGUUACUUAUGAUACUUAAGAAGAUUACUAAUGAUAUUAAGAUUGGCAAAGUAUGCUAUCUUAUAUUUGGAACUAGACCAUUAAAUUACAAAUUUAUGAACCACGGGCAUUAUGAAUAUCAUAGGACAAUAUGGUACUCCACUAUAUCAUUUUAAAAGAUUAACCCAUUUUACCAAUCUUUCACAUGUCCUGUUUUAUAGAAUGAUAUAAUCAUUAAUGCUUGUUGCAGCUGUAUAGAGAACUUUUGAAUCCUUAUUCGGCCAUCAGUCCUGUGAAGGGCAGCCUCUGGUUAUACUCUUUAGCUUUUCUAAAUACUCUCUGACUGCUUUAGUUGAUCUUUAAUCAGUCUAUAAAAUGAUAUUAUUACCUAUGUGGGUUUUGGGAUAUUUAGUUUGCCAAGGAUUUUGAAACUGCAUGCUUAACCUCAAUCUCAUCUUUUCCAGGAGCCAGGAAUGGAAUCGAGGAAGCGAAGGUAACUGCUUUCACGAGAAAACUCUAAUUGAAUCAGAAGGUUACUGGGGAAGUGGGUCUGACCUUGAUACCAUGCGAAUGGUAGAGAGCAUAUUGGACAGGUUGGGGCCAAAGGUUUUGGUUAUCAACAUUACUCGGCUUUCGGAGUACCGAAAAGAUGGGCAUCCAUCAAUCUAUAGGAAGUUCUGGGAGACGUUGACCCCCCAGCAACUGGCGAAUCCUGUUAGUUAUGCUGACUGCAUACACUGGUGUUUGCCUGGCGUACCUGAUAUUUGGAAUGAGUUGUUGUUUAAUUUUUUGUGAGCUUUGCAUACAAUAUGAUUGGUAUCUACCUUUGCGAACAAUCACGUUAGGGAGUAUAAUUUCUACAUCAAUGGAAAUGCUGCAAUGAGUUGCCAUGUGAGGGUCACUUGAUGAUGCAUUCUGAAGGUUAGUAUAUCGAACAUAUAUACUUAAUGUUCUUUUAGUGGCUGCAUGUGUUCCGGACAUGUGGUAUACUGCUAAAUACAAUUAGCACUCAGUUGUCUUCAUGCUGUGAUACAAAAAAACAUGAAUACUGAUUGGUUCCUUAGAGUUGGUUUGGCGAUUUUAACAUGUUCAUUAGGGUUGCAUAUUCUGGUUGUAUCUAAUGCAUGCUUAGAGUCGAUUUGUUAUUUGAAAACAACAAAAAAGAAAAAUCUGUAGAAUGGAUGAAUAUUGUCUCCAUAAAUAUCUGUUUAUACUAGUACAUGAUCUCUUGUUGAUACCAUCGGCUUCUAUCUCCUUGCAUCUGAAUCAAGCAACUGCACCUUCACUCAUUUGUAUUCGUAGGUGCAAAGACCAUGCAUCAAUUCUUUGUGCCACCACCGACGGCAAAAUGUCCAAAAGGUUGUUUGCCUCAAAAUUCAGUUCCACUGCCAGUGAAGUAAUGUGAUCAGAUCCUAUGUGUAAACUGGCUUCCUGCCCCACAUGAGAUGUCGACCAUAAGACCUCUUAUUGUAUAAAGGAUCUGCUCAUCAAACUGGGGAAAAAUAUCCUGCCUUGGGAUCAAGUAAAUGUAAAAUAUAUGAAGUCAGCAGGUUGGAAGCAAGAGCUUGGAGUACCUUACUGGUCAUCUCUAGGUCAAACAGGAAGACAAAACCAAGACCAUUAAUUCCUUCAGGAUUGAAAACUGAAGGAUAUGAAUGUUUCAUAUCUUUCAUUUUCUUUGCUGCAAGAACUUGGGAACCCAAGCAGGAAGUGGGUGUGAGUGGGUUUGCAUGUGGUAAGAGAGGGAGCAAACUUCCAAAUAACAUAGUUUAUGGAAAUGCCUUCUGUAAUGAUAUAAUAGGAACAUAUCAAUUUGAUUAUUGCUAGAUCAACUUUGAUGAGAUAGAGAAGGCACAUGCAAAGGAAAAGGUGAGAUAGAGAUUUAAAUAGUUAGAAAAUAAAUGACAUUGCUAGAUCAACUUUGAUGAAAUAGAAGUAAAAUCGAAGACGUUUGUUCUCUCGAGUCUCGAUCAUGGGCACAAUGAAACAGGAGACAGUGGGAGCAAGAUUCUUGAGAGGGUCUGGCAGCUAAUUAGGAAGUCCCAGAUACCUAUGUUUGACUAGAAAAUCCUGCUGUAUUGAACUUUUUUUUUCUUUCAAACUGAAGUAAUGUUAAAUAAACUAUGAUCGUGAAAUUGGUAACACAUGCAUACAGAUCCUUGCAUCCACUUUUGGUGUUUGGUGAACAUGACAUCCUAUAGCCACUCGUCCAUUUUCCAUGAAUUUAUACUGCAUAAAAGACAAUAUGUUAAAGAGGAGAAAACCGAAACGCUGCCUCAUAUUCUGAUGAUAAGUAAAAUGAGACUAUGAUGGCCAUGGAAAAAUUUGCAUGAUCACAGAGCAGGAUGAUAUGGACAAUCUCUUAGUUAUAUAAUUAUGAUGCAAUGAGAUUCCAUAAUAGAUAUAUAUGAAUGUGGAAGCAAAAAAAUAACUCGCUUGUUAUAAUAGUUAGCUAUUUCAAUAUCCUUGUUUUCCAUGACCACCAAGGAUACAUAUACAUAAAACCCUCUCCUGAAGCUUCUAAAUAGCCUGCAUAAGAGCAAAAUAUAUUACAGAGAAAUUAUAUAUAUUACAAGCAACCCCAUGCAAAAUUAAGAUAGUCUUUCUGAAAAUUCUAGUUCUCACCGAAUAUGAUAUUUUUGCCCUUUUCUGAGCAGAAUCUGCUGCCUCCUUGAGAUGAAAACUACUGGGAAGGUUGUGGAAAACACUAUAUAGAAUUUUCUAUUGCGUCUCCUGCCAAAAAAUGAUUAAUUUGGUCUCUUGCUCACUUGACAAGAUUACAGAAGCCGAACCUCUGGAGGAAGCAUAUGGCUUAUGUUACAUAAGAAGAUAUUCAGUGGCGGUCAAGUCAGUAGUCUUGCUAAUUUGAAGGGGAAAAAUAUUCAUACAAAUGGAUAUUGUCGAAAGCUUCAUGUAAAGAGCCACCAAGGUGGUAGCACGGUUGGAACGGGACUAAAAUUCUACCGGAGUGGCCCAGGUUCGAAAUGCAUGGGCAUCGAUUAAAUGUGGGGACCGGAUGUCCCUUGUUUGGUCAGUCUGGUGGAGUCGCCAUCUGGUCCGCCGGUACUGAGAUGGCGCUGAGGUGACGUACUCACAUGUGGGGCAACCCAUAUGUUGAGGAGGGUAUGAGUAAGAAUGGCCAUUCUGUCUACUCACAUCGAACAUUUUCUGCUGGAAGAGGGGCCAGUAGGAGCCGCUACGCCAGCGGAAUUUCACCUCCCCCCUCCUAUCUUUUAGUGGAAAAAAAAAAAAGCUUCUUGUAAAGUAUGUCAUCCUUAAGAUACUUGAAUAACCUGUGACUUUCUAACCCGUAGCAUCAAGAUGAUUGGAAAUAUUUUAAAUCUAUGCAUUACUUGAAGAAAUAAUUGGAUGAAACAACAAAGAGGAGUACCCACAGUCAUCAUGUAUUCAGUGUUUUAGAAUCAUCCAAUUCUAGUUUUAAGAGCAAUGCUGAUAUAUAUUUAUGUGUUUGAAAAUAUGAUAAAUCUUCUAUACAGACAAAUGGCCCAUUACAUACUGUGGUUCCUGAAAAGGUAUGGCUGAACAGUGCAGGUGAAUCAUUGUCAAUAAUGGGUGAAAAGAAGCUGACAGCAAGCGGACAAUCAUAUUGUCCUUCAGGUAGAGACUCCAAACAGCAAUGUGAAUCCAUCAGUCAUCAAAAUCCACUGCUUUUUCUGGCAUCCAGAUAUAUAAACCUCUCCCAGAUGCAAGAUUAUAGCUGCAAUAUCGAAGUCACUGGAAGGAAUAAUAAGACAAAUUUAUGAAGGGAUCCUAGCAAGGGAAGAAAAAAGAAAGCCAAAUUGCACACGCCACAUCUUAAGCUGAUAACAAAUCACAUUUGUCCCUAUCUUCCAUUUAAAAUUUAUAAAUAGGUUCUUAGAACAAAAGCAAAUGUAUGAAAAGACUGUCAUCAUUAAUCUCUGUGAGCUCUAUAUUAUACUAGUUGUGGUGUAGGUAUAAUUGCAUGUGGCCGCUAAAGAAUUUAGAUGUAGGAUAGAUCAAAGAAUCUAGACAUGGGAUGGAUUUUUGAAGGGAUAUAGAUCAUGUUAGAGACCAGUAACCGACUAUUGAAAUGAAGUGAAUUGGGAUCAAGAAUUCAAGCAUAAUAUGAGAUGUCAAUAGUUUUAUAAUUUUGUCACACUAUUUAAUUAUCCCAAAACUUAAAUCUUUCUGAUCCGUCAAAAUAUGCAGUCAAGUAAAAUCUAGUAACACCAUAAAAAAUGGAAAGGUCAACUAGCACUUAUGUUCACACAACCAAAUUCCGGAAAUAUGUCUCCAUCUGAAUCUAUAUCAGGGAAGAAUAUAAAACUAAUGAGGAUAUGUUUGAAAAAUUCAUAAAAUUAGGCUGGAUUUUCUGUUGGAUCAUGAAUUAGAUAGUUUAUUUGAUAGAGGCUCAUAUCAACUCCAUACCUCCAACCCAAAUCCUAUAAGAAAAAAUUUAUUACUGUAGUCCAACGAGCUCAUAAAUAGAAUUUAGGCUAAGAUUAGGAUAUGCCUUUAAAAGAAAAUGGGCAGAGCAAACUGACAAGCUCAAAUUUUGUAAAAGAAUUAGUCUAAUUCUGCUAAAUUUUCAAAUCCUAACUUCUUGUCCAAAAGAUUUUCUCGUUUCUACUACACCUCAAAACAAUUUCUAAUAAUAUGCAUAAGACAAUACAAUCAUAGUGGUUUCUAAUAUAAACAAUUAAAUAUAUUUUUAUAUAAAUUUAUUUUCGAUGAUGGUUAACUAGUUUAGAAUUAGUUGUUUAGUUUUACUCAAAAAAAUUAAUAUGUCUAGCUACAAUGCAUAAAACCAGAUUCGAUUACCAUGGUUCAGUGUAAUGCAUUUCAGACUAAAAUGCAUGUCCAUAGUUUUAAAGCUCAAAAUCGUAUCACCAUUAAAAAAAAAGCAUUUCUACCUUUUUGUAUUUUUUUCCUUUUUCUUUUUAUAAACAAGUGUACUUUUUUUUUGUGUGGAUGGUAACGCACUUUCUAGAUUCAAAUUCAAUACUUUUCCAUCCGCAAUUCAAUCCACCGGCAACCAUGUUGACCAAGGGGACCCACAGGAGACCGGGCCAUCUCCAUCUUAGCUUGACCCGUCCCCUUUCCUCGCAUCAAUUCCUGUUCAAAUAUUAAAAAUAAAUAUAAAAAUUUCAAGCCUUCCUUGGCAAACGGAUAGGGUUGCUGACCACCGCACCCGUGCGACGUGUUAUUCUUACUCGCUCCUCGCGUUACUCGAUGCUUCGGGGUCAAGAAAGCGAUACGUAGCAGCGGCUCGUCGCGCUUCCGGAAUGUUCGGCGUACACGUGCCAACGGCUACGGCUGGUUCCUGGACACGGCACGGCCCACGUCACCCCGAUAUUUCCUGCGGCGUGAACCAGGCAAUCCCCUUUCGGAACCAUCCGGAUCGGCGAGUCCUAUAAAUAGAGGUGGCGCCCUCGGGUUCUCGAUGUUUCCUUCGUCGCCAAGCACCCAAGCACCCCAACUGUCUUCAGAAGAGCCGGGGAAAAAUUAUUAAAAAAGAAAAGAAAAAAAAACUCUGCCGAGAAGCCCUAUAAGAAACCCUAGAAGAAUACCGCAGCCGCCAAGAAAGGAAGACGCCCUAGAAGAAUAUCACAGAGAUAGAAGAAAAGACUAAGGGGAUCUAGAAGAAGAUCACAAGACGGGGAGAAGAGUAGAGAUGGCCGAGCCAGAGAGGUGAGAAAUCUUGUUCUAAUUUCUGUGAUUUGUUUUAGCAAACUAAUUCUAGUGAUUUGGAUUCUGUCUUUCUUUGCUCAAUCUGUUUUCGCUUGGCUUGCUAUUUCUUUUCUGUUUUUUUUUGUUUUUUUGAUCUGCGACGAGGGUUUGAGUUAUUUUGCUCCCUUCUUCCGUUACAUAGUGUUUAAUUUGAUAGGUUUUGUCGGGGAUUUGGGGGGUUUUAAGGUUGUUCUUUGAUCUGGGACCAGGGUUUGAGUUAUUUUCGUCCUUUCUUUACGUCCCAUAGUGAUCAAUUUGAUAGUCUUUGUCUGGGAUUUGGGGGUUUUUUAAGCCUUUACUUGUUUCGCGUGGAUCCUGGGGGCCUUGGGGUUUAAGCUUCGAGUUUGAUUUGGUUUUCAUGUCAUCAAGUUAGCUGGAUGCGGAUGUUCUUUUGAGGACCGGAGUUCUGGUCUUACUGAAGAGGGAAAACUAAUUCCAGAUUACCGAGUUGGGAAUGUUUCUUGAAACUGAGUAGAACCAGGCCUCCAUCUUAAGUGGUAAUCUAGACCGGUGUGUCAGAUUGCUGGUUCUGAAACUUUUAGGUAUUCGAUAGUUUUCUGCCCUCUGAUUGCCUGUGGUAGUUAUCAUCAUUUUAAAGAAAGUACACGAGGAAGAUGAUGAGGACGUAGCAGUUAAACUUUAUGCUGUGAGAGGUAGUAAAAGUUGUUAAUUCCUUGAAAACCUAAAAAUAAGAGGAAGGCUAUCAUAUGGAGAAAGUUGUAAAGUUCAUUGAAGAUGGGUUAUUGUUCGUGCCAUUGAUCCAACCUCCUCCCCCUUACGUUGGGGUGAGAUUGGGGAGUUGCAAGUUCACUGACAUUUGGUAGUUUGUCUCUUUUUCAAGAAGGCCCGUUAUGCUCAUCAAUCUAGGUAGAAUUUGCCAACCAGGUGUUCUUGCUUGUAGUUUACUUUAUAGUGCAGAUAGGUGUGGUUUUGAGAGACGAGGUUAUAGAGUUACAUGCUGUCCAGCCAUGGAUGAUUUGGGACUGUUUUGAGAUUCGAAAGAAACUGUGUUGAAUUUUCACUUUGCAGAGAUGCACGUUAAUAUGCAUUUUAUGCUGGUGGAGAGUGGCUGUCUAUUGGCUUAGAAGGAAGGGUUGAGAUACAUGUAUGACACAUGUUUGAUAAAGAAAAAUAAUCAGUUUGUGAUGAUUGACUUUCUAGUUUUGGUGACUCAAUCAUGCUCAAUGCUGUGUGUUAUAUCAAAAUGAUUAUGAAGAGAUGGAAGUACACGAGAUGUAUAUGAGUUGAAUUUCUAUGGUGACUUUCUUUAAACAUUCAUAAUAAGCAUUUGUGACUUGACUUUUUUCCUAAAGGGUUCUGGGACUGCAUGAAAACAUUUGUGAUGAGAUUUGACAUGGGAACAUGUUUGUAUUUUGAUAGUAAGAUCGACUUCUCAUUUCCAAAACAUUCUAAAAGUUGUGCAAUUGAAGUAGUGAUCAAUGAAAUCAUUUUGCUACAUAUGAUUCUAGGGAUGAGUGCUGAUUUAGAGAGACUUAUUGUCCAAAGGCAUGCUGAUGAAAAAUCAAGGACUAACUUCAAAAAUAAAGUUGUGUGUGUAAAGGUCAAAGAAAGUUUCCAGGAUCGAAGGAGGAGUUGGAAUAGGUAAUUCAUCAAGGUUUUAGAAUGUUGGGAUUGUGUAAAAUGAAUAUAGAUAUCCUCCUAAUCUCAGCGAAUGCAAGAUUGAGUGUACUCCUAGCAUGAUGAAUCUGCUUGUAGGUGAGGGAACAGUGCAUGUGCAGUGUCCUUUUUAUUUUUUAUUUUUUGCCCCCAUUACUUAAUGGUUGGUAGCAUAUGUUUACUUAAGAAGAAUGUGCCAUAGAAAAGACAGUAAGAAGUAAAGAAUGUUAAUGGAACACAAUUUCCUAUGAUCCAGCAAUUUACCUACUCUUCUGUUCAAUCUAAUAAGUUAUAACAAAGAGGUGCUGAACCUUGUCUCAUUGUCUUACAAUCCAAGUGGAUGACUUUCCUCUGACGUCCCUGAAGCCCUAUUUAGAGGGAAUGUUGAAGGGUAUGAAGGCAUAAGAUAUUUAACAAUGUUUUUGUGCUCUUGGAUGGUCACCGUAUGCUUUUCUAUGAUUUACCGUGCUUUUCUCUCAUCACUCUAGUUAAAUUGCUGAUUUGCGGAGGUCUGCAGAUUUUUGCUCAUCAUUUUUUUACUUUGCACUUGUUUUUCCAUGGCAUAUUCAUAUUGGUUUAUGGGGUUUAUCCAGAGUCGGAGGACGAAUGGAGAUGAGAGGGAGGAAAGGGGAGAGGGAGAGGGUUGGGCUUUUAAAGUCUGUCCUUUUUUUUCCUUUUUUCUUUCUUUUCUCUCUAAUUUUCCAAUUAUUUUAAAUUUUUUAUAGUAAUUUAAGCUGCACAAUUAUACUUUUUUAUUCUGAUUGAUCACAUGCUUUACUAUUGUAUUGCAUCUGUGCUGUGAUAUCCGUGGAAAUAGAGUUUGGAGCAACAAGGGCUGGGUGUAUUGAUUGCAUCAGGUCACUAGGUAUGGACAUUGAUAAACUUAAUUCUCCAGUCUUUCUCUCUCCUUUUUUUUGUGGAUUCAUGUGGAACUUCCCUCCAGAUCAAUAACUUCUUAUAGUUGUGCCCCAAGGAAAUGUGUCAAGGACAUGGAAAUGGAUUGAGGCCUCCAGUUGAGAGAAACAUUGGUUAAAACAAAAUAUGUUGUUUAGGUGUGCUCAAACCAUUAAAAAGAACCUGGCCUUCUGCAACCAAAAUCAGGUAGUGGUAAUUGUCUCCUUGAACCAGGGAACUAGCUUUCCAACAAAUGCAGAGGUCUUGGUGUUGUAUGCUCGGUACGCGUGAAGAUUUUUCUAUCCAUGCUACCCAGGCUUUGUUCUAGUUGCAAAUGACACCCAGAGAUGGUGACCAGAGAGUGUCAUUCAGAUGUGAAUUUUGAAGACAUUAAGAACAUCUAUAUAAUAUACCCAGGUUUAUUGGAGAAAGGAUUGAUAGUUGAAUGCCCUAUUUUGGUCUGUUGUCCUUUGGAUAACUUCAUCAUCAUGGGCGCCUUGCAAUGCAGAUUCUUUUUGAUACAGUUACCAAGUAGAUGUGUGUGUGUGUGUGUGUGUGUGUGAGAGAGAGAGAGAGAUAAAUUUGGGAAUUUAUUUCUGAGGUUGGUGCCUUCUGCUCUCUCUGUUGCUUUUCUCAUGAUCAUACCUUGUUGUCAAAGGUUAUUUCCAAGUGAUGUGCUUUUGUUUCAUGUCAGCGUACUGAACAUUUUCUGUUUUUUUUUUCCCAGGAAGAAGAGAGUCCGAAGGAGUCAUAAUGGGCCUAAUUCCGUUGCAGAAACUAUUGCCCGGUGGAGAGAGCAGAACAGCCAGCUGGAAUGCUCUUUCAAUGGCGAGAAACGAGCACGGAGAGCGCCUGCAAAGGGUUCAAAGAAGGGUUGCAUGAAAGGCAAAGGAGGGCCAGACAAUGCACACUGCAAGUAUCGUGGUGUAAGGCAGCGUACGUGGGGCAAGUGGGUUGCUGAAAUCCGAGAACCCAAUCGAGGCAGUCGCCUGUGGCUAGGGACUUUCCCUACUGCCCUGGAAGCUGCUCUUGCUUAUGAUGAAGCUGCAAAGGCUAUGUAUGGCCCCUAUGCCCGUCUCAAUCUUCCGCAGUUCAAUGGUGCUGCCAACGCUCAGGCGACAACUUCAGGAUCGUGCGAAUCUACCACCACAUCACAUCACUCUGAUGUCUCUCAUGAUUGGAGCCCUCGGUCACCUGAGGUCAAAGUGCCCAAGAAAGAACUAGAGGAGGAGAUUAGAAAUGAUAGCCUGCCACCUGCACCAGUGGGUGCUGCUGCAAAGGUGGAGCAGCCUGGUGAGGAGUUGUUUGGGCCCCGGGAUCAGCUGGAGGAUCUUCCGGAAGAUAUGUUCGACAUUGGAGACAUGUUGAGGAUGAUGGAUGCUGACCCGACAAAUAGGGGCGUUGGCGGCGAGCAUACGGACGGGAGAACAGGCCAUUCUGGUGAUGUUGAUGCUGACAUCAACUGGCAACUUAGCAGCCCUUCUGCUCUCUCGUUCCAGUUGCAGAAUCCGGAUGCUAAGCUGCUGGGAAGUCUGCAUCAUAUGGAACAAAACCCCAUUGCCAUGGAUUAUGGUUAUGAUGAUUUUGUCAGCCAGCUGGAGCAGGAUUGGAAGUAUGGGCUGCCUGACGAUGAUCCGGGGAUGUGGGAGAUGGGAUAUCCUGAGUCGGACUUGUUUUAACAUGAUUCUGAUGGAGGCAAAGUCCGGCUGUUCUGUCACCCCAAGUGCUACUGAAGUAGUUUGGAGUUCUGAUAUCUGACCGUUCUUUUAUUCAUGAAAACUGACGGGCUUCAGCUAGUUCGCACUGUUUUUUUAAAGUAUGGGGACUGAGCUUGCGGCACUGUCAGUAUAGCUUUGUCUAUUAUCCGUUUUGCUUUAUUUUGAUAUUAUGUUUCAGGGACGAUACUAGAUCAUUCACCUAGUUCAUUUUGUAUGUUGGAGCUUUCUAAGCAUCGAGUUAAUCAACUCUGUAUAUAACGGAAUGGAACGAGGUUUACAAGAAAAGCAAGUAGUAGCUUGAUGUUUUCGUGUAGAAUCAGGUGCCUGAUGAAAAUACAAAUUUUGUGCGUUUGCACCAUAUCCUGCUUGAACUCUAUUUGACUUUGACAGCACCAUAUCCUGCUUAAACUCAAAUAGCCUUUGACAGCGUCCGCUUCUAUGAUGACUUGCCUAUAGCAGUCGGAUAUUGGUGCCAAACAUGGUGGGUUCGAUGGCAUCAAGUUUGGAAAAAUUAAUUUUUAUAUAAAUAUGAUAGAAUAAAAUUUGAAUAUCGAAUAAGAGUUAGAAUUAGAUUUUGGAAAAUGAGACAUCUCCCUUCUUGUUUGGGGGAAGGGGCAAGGGUCAAUCACUCGUUCCCAUUAUCAUUCCCGCGUUGAGAGAUACCGGUAGCGGGAGAUUAGGAGUUAAACCUGCUUCCAGCUAAAAAUUGGCUUUUCCAACUUUUGAUAGUAGAGACCUUAUCAUAAAAUAAUAACUUGGCUGUGAGCCUGUGAUAUUCGCACCAUUUUGAGCAUGGACGUCAACCAAAAAGAGAGUCCAAAUCCAUAUCUCUUCUACCAAGCAAAUAGGAAGACUGGAUAAGAACCAUCUUACCUUUGAAACUAGAAAGCAAAACAAAGUUGCGGUGACUAUAUUUGAACUUGGAAGAUUUCUCAUGCUAAUUUGUUCAACAUGUGUGAUGGUAUCCACUCAAAGACUGCAAUGGAUCUAUUGGUGAAAAGUAGUUGGAUAUUGCUACCUGCUAUCCAACUGGAGAGACAGGGGAAACCGCUAACCAUGUCAGUGUUGGAUAAUUUGACAAGAAAGGCAACAAAUAAGUAGAUUCUGCAGAAAUAUUGGUGUUGCUCAGUCCAUGAGCUGAGGAAUUGUGUACUAUAAUAUAUAUCAACGAGAAGUUAAGGAAUCUGCAGCACAUUUUCUCAGCAACCACUCUGAGAGGAAAAAAAAAAACACUGAACUUGGGAAUGUUAAUUAUGUUGAUAAUAUUAGCAAGGAUGAAGAAAACCAGUCUGAAUAAAACCACAGAUUUUUUCCACACCAUUAACCAAUUAAGAUUUUGUCUGUGAAACAAGGAUUAUGAAAGAAACAAUUUCUGUUCACCAUCAACAUGUUUCUUCUUUUCAACCAUUCACUCAAUUACACUAUGAAUAUUUUCAUAUUUACGUUUUUUUUUUCUUCUUUUUACUCCUUUCUUCUUCCUCUUCAUUGUUUUUGCCUCACUUUUCAGAAUAUGAAAAUGUCAUCUUCUUAAUAUUCUUUUAGCAGUCAGAGCAUCAACCUACAGCCAUCCUUCUCUUUCGAACUCAACUGAUUUUUACUUUUUAGAAGAAUCAAAUCUGAAUUUUGCAUCUCUCCAUAUUUUUGCCUUCAAUACUUUCUGUCAUCCAUUGAAACAUAAAGCCAGUCCAAUUUGCAUCUAUUUUUAUGACUUUUGAUGAUUAAGUCUGUAUUUGCUCCAAAACACUUUCAGGGCAAUGCAGCCUGACGAUUGGUUACACCAAAACACCCCCCUUUAUAUGCAUAAAACGCCUCUAAACUCCUAAAGUAAACCACAUCCAUCUACAUGAACGAAACAUACCAUGUAGAAAUAAUUACACAGUAAGUGCUCUGCCUCUAAAUUUGAUUAAAUGAUCACAGGUAAGUACAAGUCUUUUUUUGUUCCUCAGAAAAAAAGUAUAAAAGUCUAUGAAAAUCCAUAAAAUAGGAAUCCCUUUCCAGAAUUCUAAGUUGAAACUUUCCACCAUCAAAGCCAGUGAUGUUGCGAAACAUGCAUCUAAUCACAUUUUCACAUCGAUGCAGAGACACAAGAUAUUUACACCAGUUAUUUGACCAUGACAUCUUGUAUUCAACUUGUAACACCUAAGACAUAACCGAUAUCCAAGUUGUAGGAGUUGCAAAAGGUUUAACAUCUUAUUAAUUAAUGAAAUUCCAAAAGAGAACCCAUUUCGAGAUUUAUGCAGCAUCGUGCUUCAAAAUCCUUCAACUAAAACAUCAGAAUGCAAGAGAAUAGAUUAAGGAACUCCAACCAUUCAUCAGAGAUCAAAUAUUAAAAAGAAAUCCAUAAUCUCUGAGCUCAAGAAACCUCGUUUGUUUCGAGAAAAAGAAGAACUCGUUUCUUCACCGUAGCUUCUCCUUCACAGUGUACUUCUUGGCAGCCUCCCUGACCUUCUCGAUGUAGCCCUCAAUCGGCGGCGUUAGCGUGGCCAUGUACCGGUUCGCCGGGAAGGGCGUGAGUCCGGGACCAGCGCCGCCUCCCGGAGGUGGUCCGGCAGGGCGGCGAUGGCCUCCUUCUUGAGCCGGAGGAGCGUCGUCUCCGCCGCCUGCCGGGCCCGGUGCUUCCGCAUCAGCACCCGGCUGUAUUCCUUGGCAAGCCGGCGACCAUCCUCCACCGUAAGCUCGUACUUUGGGAUGGUCUCCUUGUCGACGAGGCCCAGGGUGAUGAGAUCCAGCCCUGGGGUCCCCAUGAUGAUGGGCUCCUCCUCGGGGGCGGCGCUGCGGCCCUUAGCGCGCGCCUUCUGCUGGUCGAUCUCGCGCUGGCGCUCUUUGGAGAUGAGGCCGAGCCUCUCGCGCUCGGCCUCGCGGGCGCGCUCCUUGGCGGUGAGGUGGCGGACCGGGGUGGGGGCGUUGAGGCAGGAGUCGACCAUGCGGUUGAGGCGCUCGAUGGCCUCGUUCCGCGCGCGGCCGCCUCCACGGGAAGGGGAGGAGUCGCCGGCGCCAGGCUGCUUCCUGCGGACGGUGGAGCGCUUCAGGGGCUGGCCGGACUUGAGCUUGCCCUUGCCCUUGGCAGUGCCGCUCACCGGAGAGCGCUGAAGGAGCUGGUGGCUGGAGGACGGGAUCAGGGUUUUGAGGGAGGCGAUCAGGCUCGAGGAGGAACUAGGGUUUCGCAGCAUCUUCUCCCCCGAUGGAAAUGGCUAGGGUUUGGCGAGAUGGAAAGAUGGGGUUAGGGGUUUUCCUUCAUCUUCGAUUAAUUAAAGAAUUGUUUUUACAAUAAGACCCUGUAAGAUAUGGAUUUUGCCAAAUUUCUAACGCUCGAUCCACGUGACUGUGAAAUUGGAGGCCAAUCAUGUCUCCCACAACUCCCUUUGCUCCUCCUAAUGACAGAUAGAUAGUCCGCGUCGCUUCAGGCCUUACCAUGGCGACGAGCCAUUGAAGGGCGUAAAACGAACCAUUUUGGCCGCGUGAUAGAAGCCUCUGGGUUACGCGAACUUCUUGGGAGCAUGCAACCGGCUUCUUAGCGCGUUGCUAGAUGGGAUUCGGUCAUGAGGUUCCGGUUUCUUGUGCUUGAUCUUCUUGGGCUUGGUAUAGAACUUCUUCGGCGAGCUUGGCCUGGCCUUCUUUUUCUAUAAGGAGGUCUGCCUAGUGAUUUUGACCUUUUGUAAUGAGAUCUGCUCGGCCAUGCAAAAUACUCUGUUUGGAUCCUAAGCUGUCUUGCUUUGUAAUCAGACAUUUAAAUAGUAAAAUAAUGAACUUUUUCACUCAUAUCUUAUUUUUUUGUGAUGCUUAAGUGUUUAAUUUUUCACUCAAGUGUUUGAGGUCGUCUGAAAGACGUCGAGAUCGACUGAAUGAGGCCGAAGCACUUUUGCAAAUAGAUUCAAGUAUUUAAGGUCGUCUAGCGGAUGCCGAGGUCGAUUGAAUAAGGCCGAAGUCCGUUUGCAAAUAGGCUCAAGUAUUUAAGGUCAUCCGGCGAACAUCAAGGUUGGUUGAAUGAUGUCGAAGCAGUGGACUCCAGUCCUUUGUGGGCCUCCUCCAAGCCUUUGACUCUAGUUCUCGGCAUUGUUAGGCUAAGGUAAUGGACUACAAUUCUUUUGGAGUUGGCUUUCGGAGAGGCUUGUAGUAUCUACAAUUUUCUAUGGCCAAGGUGGUGGACUUCAAUCCUUCAUGGCCUUCAAGCCUCUGUCCCCAGAUUUCAAGGAUCAGACUACGAUCCUUGGUAGCCAACGGGCCUCUGCCCCCAGUCUCAGAGUUUGGACUAUGGUCCUUGGUGGCUAACGAGCCUCUGUUCCUCGAUCUUAAGGAUUGGACUACUAUCCUUGGUGGCUGACGGAUCUCUAACACCUAGGUAUUAGGUUGUCAUGCCUCCUCCCAUCCGAGCCUAGGUUGUACUAGGACUUUUGAAUGAAGGUCUUAGUUAGGAUGUCUCUACCUUCAAAGUCGCUUUUAUGAAAAACAUACGACUUGUUACACUUUGAUUUUUUGGGCCAAUCCUUGGAGAAGAAUUGAAACAUAAUUUUAUUGAUUGUCUGUAAUAAAAGGUACAAAAUCUAGUAAUAUGACUAUUAUUGGUUGUGUGCCCUAAGAUUGUCAGGGUUUUACUUUCAAGGUAUGGGCACCCCUCCGAGUUUCUCAAGCUCGAAUACUCGAUGUGGGCAGUCCUUGCUCUAUGGAUUUCUUUCGCUUGGAUAGCUUGAUCAUUGGCAUCUUAAUUUGAAGCACCCAAUUCUUCAGCUAUAAAUCCUCCAGAGAUUAUAGUGAUUACCCCGGUAUGUGGCCGAUCAUCACUUCACCUUUCACAAAUCUCGUUAUCUUGCCGGUCUCCCUCUUUUCAGUAGAAGCCUUCAUCCUUCGAGCCCAACAUAGAUAAUGCAGGUCUCUGAUCUCAAUCAAGAUUUGAGCCCUUAAUUAGGAUGUGAAGAGGAAUAUACUUUUAGAAAGAAAAAGUGCACAUGGGAGAAAAAAAGAGUUUGGAAGAAUGGAGAGUAGUGUUCUAUUAGACAAUUAUUACAACUUCUUGCUCGGUUGUUUAGCCAAUAAAAUAUAUUCGAAAAAAACACCUACUUACUUUCGAAAUAUAUAGUCCCCUAAAAGUUUAGUUCAUCCCUGGCUCUUUAGGGUCCUUUUAAUAAAGGAAAUAUGCAUCAAGUAUUCGAUGGAAUUGCAUGAAAUGCCCGGUAUGUGACAAAUGUGGUGUAAUUAAUGCAGCUUAAGCCAAACCUAAAGUCUCACCCUUUUGACCAGUUCAUUGAGAAAUGUGGUGUAAUGCAGCUUAAGUCAAACCUGAAGUCUCGCCCUUUUGACCAAUCCAUUGACAUCCUAGUCAUCAUUUUGUAUCAGUAUCACUCUCAUUGAUAUGAUAUAUAAAAGAGCAAUGAUAUCGUGAAUCAAAAAGACCACCAGCUCUCAUUACCUUGUUCAAUAGAUCUAUAUAAAUUGAUAUAUAGCAAGAAAUUUGCUAAUAUAAUAUUGACAGGGUUGGAAAUGGACCAAGACUAGUCAUGUUUCUAUAUGGCCUAGACCCGACUUGGAGAACCCAAUCUUCUUCCUCGCAUGGUGCAAGGAGAGAUACGAAGAUGGCAAGAUCUCAAUGGCGGCGAUGGAGCCUGAGCAUGGAGCCCAAGCACAAUAGAGGUGGAGGGAGAUACAAGGGAAGGAGGAUCUCUGCAGGGAGCAUUGGACGCAGGUUGAAAAAUUUUUCAUUGAGCAAGAAAAAUAGAAAAAGAAAAACUAAGAUACGAUCUUUCUGUCUCAAUCUUGGUCGCAACAAAUUCUGGAGCUUACCAGCUUCACUUUGAACAUCGACGCCACCUCCAACCAAGGUACAACAACCACUCAUUCCUUCUCUUAACUUUCUCUCCUCUCUCUGUCCCUAAGAAGUGGCUCCAAAUCGGAGGUUUUUGAAGACUUGGAUUGGCCUAGAUCUAGCAUUUGAGGAAUAAGAGUAGUGUGUUUGGGGAUUGCUCUGUGUCUCCAUGGGUUUGCGGGGGAAGAGGAGGUGAAUGAGGGGAUGAUAGCUUACAACUACCGUAGUUGUAAGCUAACGGAAAGACACAGGCAUCAGUGAAAGAGAGAAGAGAACUGCAAAGAUGGGAGCAUGAGGAGAGAGUGCGUGGAUUGCGGGAAGAGAGAGAGGAAGAGAGAGAGGGGGGACGUGCAGGCCAUCGAGGGAAUUGGAUGUUUGUGGGUAAAUUGGAUGGCAUUUGGAUCUAAUUUUGACCAUCUAACUAAUAACUUUGUCCAUAUUUUUGAGAGAAAAAAACAUUUUUGUUUUAUUUACAAUCUUAUUUAAUUUGAUAUGAUACUUACUAACUUUUACAAGAAAUAAAAAAUUAUAUUAGUGUAGUAUUAAAUUUGGCUUAUGCCCAUAUCUAUAUCUAUUUAAAAUAAAUAUAGAUUUUUAAUUUAAAUUUUUGCAUUUGACAAAUACCAAUCUCCACAAACGUAUUGGCCAAAUAAAAAAAAAUAUGGAUAUGAAUAAAUUAAUUUUUUAUUAGAUGUUUUCUUAAAAAUCUAGACCUAUCCGACGGCCCAGUUCCCACAAUAUUUUCAAUCUUUUUAUUUCCUUAAACUAACUUUCUAAUCAAUAAAUUUCAGAAUAACUACAGAAAAAGUUGCUAACUGGGAUAUUUACCAUGGGGGCCAAGAUUUUUAAUUAGAUCUUAAAUUUAACCGAUCAAUGAAUUUCACAACAAAAAAAAAAGUCUGUUCAUCAGAAAAGGAGAACAAUAAAAAGAAAGAAAGAGAAAAUAAAACGAGGCACGCAGUUUCAAUCUCAACUGUCCAUUCAUAAUAUAUUGCUCACCAACUAUUCAUAACAUGGCAAUCAGAACACCUUUCAAUUUCCAGAAAAAAAAAGAAGAAAAGAAGAAAAAAAACAAUAACUAAGCUCUUGUUCUAUGUUUUGCCGUCAAGCCCUAAAACAACCGGCGAAGUAGGCCAAGCCGUGGUGUUGGCGGUGCUGGGCUCGUCGACCGGCACUGCUCUCGCGGUCGAUGAUGCCCUGGACGUAGCGGAAGCGGUCGACACGGCAUGGGAUGGUGACGGCCCCCGGGUUGUCGAACCCAUACUCCCUCUCCGCCUCGUUGAGAAGCCCCACGAAGAGCGGAUGCUUCAAGUACUCCACCGGCACCAUGAAUCGCUGCUGCUCUUCCUCCCCUUCUAUCCCCACCUUUACUCCCACGAACCCUUUGGGCGGCUUCCUCGAAGCCCCCUUCUCGCUUCCCAUGUGGACGCGGAAGCUAAUUAAACAGCCGGUUUUGAUGGUGGUGGUGAUCCUUGCCUUCAGUCCUUAUCCCCAAGGAAGGAAACAAACAGCACGAUAAGAAGAAAACUAGAAGACAGAGAUCAGAGAGAGACUAACUUAUGGACUAAAGCGAGAAGGGCCACGGAUCGGAACUCGAUAUUGCGAGGCAGAAAAGGGUGAGCGAGGACUCGCAGAGAGAUGUUGGGACGUUCGACAUGAUGGAAAUUUUAACAAGCGUAUUAGAGGCGAUGCAAGAUGAUAUAUAGAGAGAGAGAGUUGGAGGCCUUUGGAGGAAAGCAACAGAAUUAUAGAGAUAUACUCGUAUCAGGUAAACCAGGAUUUGCCGUCUCAGGUUGGUUUAUUCUCUCUGUAUCGCGUCACCCGGAAGUCUCCCGAAAAAGAAGGAUUCACCUUUCUCUCGCGAAUCCUACGCGUGAUUUGAGAUAUGUGCAGUCGUGAUCCAACGGUUGAUGUUCUGUAAGAAGUCGUGAUACAACCCGAAGUCCGCUCGGAAACUACGGGUUCCGGCCCUGCGAAUCCGCUAUAUCCGUUGAAUUCACAACCAUGGUGGAGUCGGAAUUUGAGUAGGAUUCCUCCAGGCCGGCGACGCCGCCAGGCGUUAAGGAAGGUAAACGAUUACAACGCGGAACAGCUUAUUCCCCAACGAGAGCCUGACGCGUAAGUGCUAAGAUGCAGGUACAACGUUAAAUUAGAGCUUUUUUUUUUUUUUUGCUAAAAAAAAGGAAAGGGGGAGGGCAGGGACAAGUGCACCCCCACGUAGCAGCCCCCAUUGGGCUAUCGCCCCGCCAUGGCAGUAUGUUGGGCACCCCAACCAGUUUUACUCAUACCCUUCCCACUUAUAGGUCCGGCACGGCUACCGCUCUAGGCUCCGGUUCGAAAUCCCAUGUGUGAGUACAUCACACCUGGCACCACCAAAACUACUAGAGGUCCAAUAAAUAUUUAUAAGCCCCAUGUUCAAGCAGUGGCCAAAGCCAUAUUUUAAUCGACGCCGCAGCGACUCGAAUUUGGAACCAUGAGGAUAGAAAAUACGCCCAGUACCACUAGGCUACACCUUGGUGGCAAUUAGAGCUUCUUUUCACUGGAACGGUGUGUGAGGACCGGAUUGUGUAGAUUUUCUCUAGGUAGGUGCGUAGUCGCCUCCAUGUUCCCGUCCGCUUAGAAACUCAAGCAGAGCAUUACGUUGAUUCGAUUUCCAAAAGGUUCCAACUGGAUUCAGCAUAACCACAGGUGCUCAAAGCAAUAUCUGCCAGAGAUUCGCGUAUUAGGAAGGGUUCGGAAGGAUCUUGGAUCAUAAAUAAUAAAAUUUUGAAUGUUUCGAGAUUUUCUCGGAAUUAUUAAAAUCAAAAAAUUGAAUCUUGGUCGUUAUACAAUUAUUUUUAUUUUAAGCUAUUAAUUUAUAUAAAUUAUUUAAGAUUAUUUAAGGUUUCAUAUGAGCAACUACAAAUUCUCAAAUUCAUAUAUUAAUGGAGAAAUCUACGGGAGAAGAUGUGACGCAGUGUGGAUGCUGUCAUCCCUUUACGCUCAUCAUACGUUGCUUGCACAGAUAUCAAAGCAAGCAAUAGAUGAUCCAAUGGUGGAUAAUUCUUUUUUUGCGCGCAGGAUAUACCUAAGAUCCGAAGAAGAAAGAUUUUUGAGAUUGAUGAUAUUGCUUAUACUUUUCAUAUGCAUGAUAUUAAGAUACAUGUGUAUUUGAUAAUAUUAUCUUUAAUCUAUUCCAUAGUGCUUGCUGAUGAGCAAUUUCUACCUUAAUACUCUAUUGGCUAAUAUCUUGAGAUACAUGGUUUAUAUUGAUUGAGAUCACAAAGAACAGUAUCUGCACUAUAUAUUAUUGAAUAAGAAAGAAAUAUGCUAUUUAGAUUCUAUAGAAUAUGAUUAGCAUUUCUCUUCAUGAAUAUUUGUAUAUAAUCCAUGUGCAGCUCUGUGUAUUCUUGAGACUUUCUUAGAUAUUCCAAACUAUUUUAACUCUGUUUUGUUAAAAAAAGAAAUCUGUAUCCAUCUCUAAGCAUAUUCCCAACUUGUUAAAGUUUUUUUAAAAAUAAAAAUUAAACAAAAGCAUUAACAAAAACAACAUCCACAUAUUUUAUUUCUCUUAUCCAUUAAUUCUUAGAGCUUUUUAUAUUUUUCAAAAUAUAGUGCCUAGUUGCUAGAGUCAAGUUAUAUUAAUCUUGUUAUCUUUUUUUUCUAAAGAUGUAUUGCACCUGUCUGGUUGCUAAUCUCAAAUUAUACUGCCUAAUAUUGAUUAAAAACUAGUAUUUUGAUAGAGAUGAGCCUACCGAGCUCAAGCCAAGGCAUUGAUUAAAAAUCUGGUUUUUUUUUUUUUUUGGUCGCACGGCAACAGGGCAUUGAUGCUUUAUAUUAUGGCCCCGGGGCUCUUAGGAGUGCUUUUUGUUCCUUUUAUUUUUGUUUCAAAUUUUGAUCCCCUGGUUUUUGGACCGCCGGAUUCACUCUCUCAUGCUCUCCGGCUCCCUCCCCUGGUGUUCUCUCUCUAACUGAUCUUGCCUAAUCUGGUAGGCAUGAAUUUCACUAUCAAUUUCAAGAACAAUAAUAAAAACAAAUAAACCCCGAUUAGUUAUCUACCCUUGUACGAUUCAUGCCGUCAAGCCCUGAAGCACCCGGAGAAGUGGGCCAGGCGGUGGUGGCGGCGGCUGCGGUGGUAAUGCUGGCGAUGGGCUUGAACGGCAGCACUGUGCUCACGAUCGAUGAUGCCUCGAACAUACCGGAAGUGUUCGACGCGACAGGGGAUGGUGAUGGCCCCCGGCUGGUCGAAUCCGUACUCCCUCUCCGCCUCCUUGAGAAGCCCUACGAAGAGCGGAUGCUUCAAGUAUUCCACCGGCACCACGAACCGUUGCUUCUCCUCCUCCCCUUCCGUCCCCACCCUUAUCCCCAUCCACCCCUUCGGCGGCUUCAGCGGAGGCCCCUUGUCAUGUCGAGUGUGAGAGUAGAAGUUGAGCGGUCUAUCGAGGUGGUACUGCUUGUCUACAGGCCUCAUCGACGAAACGGGAAACAAAGAACAGUACAAGAAGAGAACUAGAAGUAGAGAUGGAAAGAGAGAGAGAUAAAGGAACCUCAAGGACCGGAGCUCGAGAUGGUGAGGAGGAAAAGAGAGAGAGAAGAGUGGCAGAGAGACUCCGGCACGUUCGACAUGGUGGAGAGAGCUAGUGUUAUGGAGACGAGGGAGGGAGGGAGGGUUAUAUAUAGAUAGAGAGCGUAGGAGCCUUGGGAGUGGAGGAAGGGAACCGAUAGGAACGGAGAUGUAGCCGCAUUAGGGAAGGCGGUAGGCACCGAGACGUGAAUAUCCAUCCCAAACAAAAUUUUUCGAGUGGUAAGCGGCAAAAGGAUGCCACCUAAUCUACCGUACUAUUUGCUUUACGGAAAACAUAGGUAGGCGACAGGAGGCGCGAGUCACGGCCCUUCGAAACCGCCAUAUGGUCUAAGCUCAGUUUCAGCCCGUGCUGGUGGCUUUAUCCAACGGCCACGUCCUCGCAAUGCUGUUGGGGACACUUGGGAGCUGGCGAUUGGAAGAGGACUGCGGGUCCCAGCUACAAUCGCGGAGGACACGUGUCAGAAGUAGGGAUGAAGCAUUUUUGAUGUAAAAAUGUGCGACUCUUUUUCUCCUUUUCUGAUCAGAUAUCUAAAGAUGUCAGAAGUAGGUAUUUUUACUAAUUUGAAGACGAACAACAAACAAGAAGAUGGUAAUGGCGCCGAAUAAGCUCAGUAGUCUAUUCGGAGAUAUCCGAUAAAAUUAGAACGGUACAUAGAAGAAUAGCAUACCCUUGCGCAAGGAUGACAUGCAUAAAUCGAGAAAUGAUCCAAAUUUUUUCGUUAUUUUAACGCCCAGAUUUGCUCUUUUUUCAUGGGUGCCUCCAUCCUUAGUCAUCUCAAAGAUAAUUUCAAUGACGACAUGUCGGCGGAUGGAAUAUAUGGAGAAGUGGAAUUUAUGAUCGGAGACCACCACGGCAGAGAUGGCGGUAGGUGGUCGGCGCACCCUCGGUCGGACUGUUAUUGAGGCAGAGCUUCAAGCAGCAUGGGAAGGCAUCUCCUAUGCGAGGAGGGUACCUGGUGCAGAUAGGAUAUGUCUCGAGGGGGAUUCCACUACGGUGAUCGAUUGGAUACGGAGAGCUGAUCGAUACGGGGAUGGUCACCCACUGAUUUGUGAGACUAGUGGACUGGUCAAGGGUUUAGCUUCUUUUCAGAUAGUGCACAUAUAUCGGAAGACGAACAGAACUACAGACUGGAUCGAUCGCCUUCUACGUGGCUCGGCACGCUGAAGAGAUCUUUUGGACUAGUGUCACCGAGACUCCCUCUCCCCUUAUCAUUUUGUCGCUUUUAAUUUGGCGGAUUGUACUCAUGUAAAAGCCAUAUGAAUGUCGUUUUUUAUAAAAAAAAAAAAAUAAUAAUAAUAAGCCAAAGCAUUUCAGUAAAAAUACUAUGUAAGGGUUCAGACGUCCCACCAAAAAAAAACAAAAAGGCAUUCACCUCCUCAUACGAAAGUGCGGCUUGCAUUAGGAUUGGGAACUAUGAUUGCUGCAGAGAUUGGCUCGAUGUGAACAGUGGACAUAGUAGAGAUUAUGAGAAUGCGAAAAGUGUGUAUGGUCUCCAAAGUUGGAUAAAAGGCUGGACAGUAAAACGAGAGGAUGGAUGAUGGAUCCCCCUUCCCCAACCCAAAAAAAAAAGUAAAAAAGAAAAAUAGACUUCACAUUAUUAUUGAAAUAUGGGGACUUUGAGGUGAUACCAACGCUUAAUAAAUCAUCCUGCCUUUCUUAUACGGUUGGUAUUAUUCUGUUUCUUUUCUUUUCCCGGUUGCAAUAAUUGCAUGUUUCCAAAUUACUCUCCUUUGCACCCACUUUUUGUAUUCAUAUUCAUUAAUAUAUUACAUAAUUUUUUACAAUACAUGCACAAUUGUCAAUUUUGAAGAACGGCAUUAGCCUUUUUCAUAUUUGUGUAAUCAUUAAGCAAUUAGUUGACAAUCAUGACUUUAUUGCAGAUUUGCAGUGAUGACAGCUUGAUAGGUUGCAACAUAGUAAAAUAGUUGUUCUAAUGAAAAUGGUAGUAUAAAUAUGUAAGAUUUAUGUUCAAUAGAAAAAUAUUAUGUACUUACAAGUUGGACGAAAGUUGAGUUUUGUUAGAUUAAUCAAAUUUAAAUAAAAAAUUUUAAGCAUUCGUUUCUCAUUAUAGAUACCUACAAUUUCGUGUAAUAACUAUCAAGUUUGAAAGUUCCACCGCUUAACCUUAGGUUCAAUUAAUUUCGGCAUGUCUUGGAUACAAUCCAUGGGCCUUAUGUAUUUCAUUGGGGUGAAAUGUGUCAUGGACUAAUAGUUCAAAAGCAUAAGUAGCUAGGAGGAAGACCUAUCCAGGCUAAUAACUAUGUGGAAGUCCUUUUAUUAGUUGAUAUGGGACUAUGACCAUCUCUCCCACUCAACCUCACGAUGCCUCUAUCACGAUUGGCUCCUACUCUAAGGAGAAGGGGUCCGCUUAUGGCGUGCAGGUUUUACUCUAUCCAUCGCAUCCUUCUUGAUCCUAGUAUCUCCCAAUUAGGGGCCUUCAUAACUAAUAAAAGUUGUGAUGCAUAUAAAGCCCGGCUCUGAUGUUGCUUAUCAUAGAUUUAUUUCUUUAAGUAUCUGUGCAACACUUAGAAGCUUUGCUUGCCUGCAACCACCUCUAAGUCAACAUAUCACUUGGCCCCUUCAAGCUAGAACUUUUAAAAGAAAAAGAGCACGUAGGAGAAAAAGAGAGAGUUUGGAAGAAUGGAGAGUACUGUUCUAUUAGAGAAUUAUUAGAACUUCUUGCCUGGCCGUUUGGCUAAUAAGAUACAUUCUCACUCCAUAAAAUUCUAGAAAAAUAUCUACUUACUUUUCCAAAUAUAUAGUCUCCUAAAAAUUUAGUUCAUCUCUGGCUCUUUAGGGUCCUUUUAAGAAGGAAAAUAUGCAUCAAGUAUUCGAUGGAAUUGCAUGAAAUGCUCGGUCCGCGACAAAUGUGGUGUAAUUAAUGCAACUUAAGCCAAACCUAAAGUCUCACCCUUUUGACCAGUCCAUUGACAAAUGUGGUAUUAUGCAGCUUAAGUCAAACCUGAAGUCUCACCCUUUUAACCAGUCCAUUGACAUCCUAGUCAUCAUUUUGUAUCAAUAUCACUCUCAUUGAUAUGAUAUAUAAAAGAGCAAUGAUAUUGUGAAUCAAAAAGACCCAGGUCUCAUUACCUUGUUCAAUAGAUCUAUAUAAAUUGAUAUAUAGCAAGAAAUUUACUAAUAUAAUAUUGACAGGGUUGGAAAUGGAUUGAGUCUAGUCAGAUUUCUAUAUAGCCUAGACCCAACUUGGAGAGCUCGAGCUAGGUUCAUAUCAGGCUCAAACUGAGCUCGUUCCUGGCAUGGUGCAAGGAGAGAUAUGGAGAUGGCAAGAUCUCAAUGGCGGCAGUGGAGCCUGAGCAUGGAGCCCAAGCACCAUAGAGGUUGAGAGAGAUACAAGGGAAGGAGGAUCUCGACAAGAAGCAUUGGAAGCAAGUUGAGAAAUUUUUCAUUGAGCAAGGGAAACAGGAAAAAAAUGUAAUGUCCGGGCCCAAUACAGACCGGGCCCAAUACUGUAGGGCCCAGUUGAAUAGUAUUGGGCCAGGGAGGGGUUAGCUGGCCCAAAAUGGCCAUAAUCUCCCGCCUGAGGGCUGAAAAGACAAGACCACCAGAUGGCUAACGGANNNNNNNNNNNNNNNNNNNNNNNNNNNNNNNNNNNNNNNNNNNNNNNNNNNNNNNNNNNNNNNNNNNNNNNNNNNNNNNNNNNNNNNNNNNNNNNNNNNNNNNNNNNNNNNNNNNNNNNNNNNNNNNNNNNNNNNNNNNNNNNNNNNNNNNNNNNNNNNNNNNNNNNNNNNNNNNNNNNNNNNNNNNNNNNNNNNNNNNNNNNNNNNNNNNNNNNNNNNNNNNNNNNNNNNNNNNNNNNNNNNNNNNNNNNNNNNNNNNNNNNNNNNNNNNNNNNNNNNNNNNNNNNNNNNNNNNNNNNNNNNNNNNNNNNNNNNNNNNNNNNNNNNNNNNNNNNNNNNNNNNNNNNNNNNNNNNNNNNNNNNNNNNNNNNNNNNNNNNNNNNNNNNNNNNNNNNNNNNNNNNNNNNNNNNNNNNNNNNNNNNNNNNNNNNNNNNNNNNNNNNNNNNNNNNNNNNNNNNNNNNNNNNNNNNNNNNNNNNNNNNNNNNNNNNNNNNNNNNNNNNNNNNNNNNNNNNNNNNNNNNNNNNNNNNNNNNNNNNNNNNNNNNNNNNNNNNNNNNNNNNNNNNNNNNNNNNNNNNNNNNNNNNNNNNNNNNNNNNNNNNNNNNNNNNNNNNNNNNNNNNNNNNNNNNNNNNNNNNNNNNNNNNNNNNNNNNNNNNNNNNNNNNNNNNNNNNNNNNNNNNNNNNNNNNNNNNNNNNNNNNNNNNNNNNNNNNNNNNNNNNNNNNNNNNNNNNNNNNNNNNNNNNNNNNNNNNNNNNNNNNNNNNNNNNNNNNNNNNNNNNNNNNNNNNNNNNNNNNNNNNNNNNNNNNNNNNNNNNNNNNNNNNNNNNNNNNNNNNNNNNNNNNNNNNNNNNNNNNNNNNNNNNNNNNNNNNNNNNNNNNNNNNNNNNNNNNNNNNNNNNNNNNNNNNNNNNNNNNNNNNNNNNNNNNNNNNNNNNNNNNNNNNNNNNNNNNNNNNNNNNNNNNNNNNNNNNNNNNNNNNNNNNNNNNNNNNNNNNNNNNNNNNNNNNNNNNNNNNNNNNNNNNNNNNNNNNNNNNNNNNNNNNNNNNNNNNNNNNNNNNNNNNNNNNNNNNNNNNNNNNNNNNNNNNNNNNNNNNNNNNNNNNNNNNNNNNNNNNNNNNNNNNNNNNNNNNNNNNNNNNNNNNNNNNNNNNNNNNNNNNNNNNNNNNNNNNNNNNNNNNNNNNNNNNNNNNNNNNNNNNNNNNNNNNNNNNNNNNNNNNNNNNNNNNNNNNNNNNNNNNNNNNNNNNNNNNNNNNNNNNNNNNNNNNNNNNNNNNNNNNNNNNNNNNNNNNNNNNNNNNNNNNNNNNNNNNNNNNNNNNNNNNNNNNNNNNNNNNNNNNNNNNNNNNNNNNNNNNNNNNNNNNNNNNNNNNNNNNNNNNNNNNNNNNNNNNNNNNNNNNNNNNNNNNNNNNNNNNNNNNNNNNNNNNNNNNNNNNNNNNNNNNNNNNNNNNNNNNNNNNNNNNNNNNNNNNNNNNNNNNNNNNNNNNNNNNNNNNNNNNNNNNNNNNNNNNNNNNNNNNNNNNNNNNNNNNNNNNNNNNNNNNNNNNNNNNNNNNNNNNNNNNNNNNNNNNNNNNNNNNNNNNNNNNNNNNNNNNNNNNNNNNNNNNNNNNNNNNNNNNNNNNNNNNNNNNNNNNNNNNNNNNNNNNNNNNNNNNNNNNNNNNNNNNNNNNNNNNNNNNNNNNNNNNNNNNNNNNNNNNNNNNNNNNNNNNNNNNNNNNNNNNNNNNNNNNNNNNNNNNNNNNNNNNNNNNNNNNNNNNNNNNNNNNNNNNNNNNNNNNNNNNNNNNNNNNNNNNNNNNNNNNNNNNNNNNNNNNNNNNNNNNNNNNNNNNNNNNNNNNNNNNNNNNNNNNNNNNNNNNNNNNNNNNNNNNNNNNNNNNNNNNNNNNNNNNNNNNNNNNNNNNNNNNNNNNNNNNNNNNNNNNNNNNNNNNNNNNNNNNNNNNNNNNNNNNNNNNNNNNNNNNNNNNNNNNNNNNNNNNNNNNNNNNNNNNNNNNNNNNNNNNNNNNNNNNNNNNNNNNNNNNNNNNNNNNNNNNNNNNNNNNNNNNNNNNNNNNNNNNNNNNNNNNNNNNNNNNNNNNNNNNNNNNNNNNNNNNNNNNNNNNNNNNNNNNNNNNNNNNNNNNNNNNNNNNNNNNNNNNNNNNNNNNNNNNNNNNNNNNNNNNNNNNNNNNNNNNNNNNNNNNNNNNNNNNNNNNNNNNNNNNNNNNNNNNNNNNNNNNNNNNNNNNNNNNNNNNNNNNNNNNNNNNNNNNNNNNNNNNNNNNNNNNNNNNNNNNNNNNNNNNNNNNNNNNNNNNNNNNNNNNNNNNNNNNNNNNNNNNNNNNNNNNNNNNNNNNNNNNNNNNNNNNNNNNNNNNNNNNNNNNNNNNNNNNNNNNNNNNNNNNNNNNNNNNNNNNNNNNNNNNNNNNNNNNNNNNNNNNNNNNNNNNNNNNNNNNNNNNNNNNNNNNNNNNNNNNNNNNNNNNNNNNNNNNNNNNNNNNNNNNNNNNNNNNNNNNNNNNNNNNNNNNNNNNNNNNNNNNNNNNNNNNNNNNNNNNNNNNNNNNNNNNNNNNNNNNNNNNNNNNNNNNNNNNNNNNNNNNNNNNNNNNNNNNNNNNNNNNNNNNNNNNNNNNNNNNNNNNNNNNNNNNNNNNNNNNNNNNNNNNNNNNNNNNNNNNNNNNNNNNNNNNNNNNNNNNNNNNNNNNNNNNNNNNNNNNNNNNNNNNNNNNNNNNNNNNNNNNNNNNNNNNNNNNNNNNNNNNNNNNNNNNNNNNNNNNNNNNNNNNNNNNNNNNNNNNNNNNNNNNNNNNNNNNNNNNNNNNNNNNNNNNNNNNNNNNNNNNNNNNNNNNNNNNNNNNNNNNNNNNNNNNNNNNNNNNNNNNNNNNNNNNNNNNNNNNNNNNNNNNNNNNNNNNNNNNNNNNNNNNNNNNNNNNNNNNNNNNNNNNNNNNNNNNNNNNNNNNNNNNNNNNNNNNNNNNNNNNNNNNNNNNNNNNNNNNNNNNNNNNNNNNNNNNNNNNNNNNNNNNNNNNNNNNNNNNNNNNNNNNNNNNNNNNNNNNNNNNNNNNNNNNNNNNNNNNNNNNNNNNNNNNNNNNNNNNNNNNNNNNNNNNNNNNNNNNNNNNNNNNNNNNNNNNNNNNNNNNNNNNNNNNNNNNNNNNNNNNNNNNNNNNNNNNNNNNNNNNNNNNNNNNNNNNNNNNNNNNNNNNNNNNNNNNNNNNNNNNNNNNNNNNNNNNNNNNNNNNNNNNNNNNNNNNNNNNNNNNNNNNNNNNNNNNNNNNNNNNNNNNNNNNNNNNNNNNNNNNNNNNNNNNNNNNNNNNNNNNNNNNNNNNNNNNNNNNNNNNNNNNNNNNNNNNNNNNNNNNNNNNNNNNNNNNNNNNNNNNNNNNNNNNNNNNNNNNNNNNNNNNNNNNNNNNNNNNNNNNNNNNNNNNNNNNNNNNNNNNNNNNNNNNNNNNNNNNNNNNNNNNNNNNNNNNACGAUCUUCUGUCCCAAUCCUGGUCGCAACAAAUUCUGGAGCUCACCAACUUCACUUUGAACAUCAACACCUCCACCUCCAACUAAGGUACAACAACCACUCAUUCCUCCUCCUCUCUCUCUCUCUCUCUUCUCUCUCCAUUCCUAAUAAGUAGCCUUCAAAUUGGAGGUUUUUGAAGGCAUGGAUUGCCUAGAUCUAGCAUUUGAGGAAUAAAGGUAGCGUGUUUGGGGAUUGUUCCGUGUCUCCAUGGGUUUGUAGGGGAGGAGGAGGUGAAUAAGGGGAUGAUGAUAGCUUACAACUACCAUAGUUGUUGGCUAACUCAAAGACACAGGCAUAUUGGAUGUUUGUGGGUGAAUUGGAUGGUGUUUCGGAUGUUAUUUUGACCAUCUAACUAAUAAUUUUGUCUAUAUUUAUUCUAUUUAUAAUUUUAUUUAAUUUGAUAUGAUACUUAUGAACUUUUAAUAGAAAUAAAAAAAUUAUAUUAGUAUGGUAUUAAAUUUGGCUUAUGUCCAUAUAUCUAUAUCUAUUUAAAAUAAAUAUAGAUUUCAAAAUUUGAAUUCUUGCACUUUGACAAAUAUCAAUCUCUACAUAUUGGCCAAAUAAAAAAAUAUGGAUAUAGAUAUAUUAAUUUUCUAUUAGAUGUUUUUCUAAAAACCUAAAUCUUUUCAAGCCUAACUGAAAUCUGAUGGCCCAGUUCCAACAAUAUUUUCAAUCUUUUUAUUUCCUUAAACUAACUUUCUAAUCAAUAAAUUUCAGAAUAACUACGGAAAAUGUUGCUAACUGGGAUAUUUACCAUGGGGGCAAGAUUUUUAAUUAGAUCUUAAAUUUAACCGAUCAAUGAAUUUCACAACAAAAAAAAAAAGAAGAGUCUGUUCAUCAGAAAAGUAGGAAGAAAAAAAAAAGAAAGAGAAAAUAAAACGAAGCACGCAGUUUCAAUCUCAACUGUCCAUUCAUAAUAUAUUGCUCACCAACUAUUCGUAACAUAGCAGUCAGAACACCUUUCNNNNNNNNNNNNNNNNNNNNNNNNNNNNNNNNNNNNNNNNNNNNNNNNNNNNNNNNNNNNNNNNNNNNNNNNNNNNNNNNNNNNNNNNNNNNNNNNNNNNNNNNNNNNNNNNNNNNNNNNGUCGCGGUCGAUGAUGCCCUGGACGUAGCGGAAGCGGUCGACACGGCAUGGGAUGGUGACGGCCCCCGGGUGGUCGAACCCAUACUCCCUCUCCGCCUCGUUGAGAAGCCCCACGAAGAGCGGAUGCUUCAAGUACUCCACCGGCACCAUGAAUCGCUGCUGCUCUUCCUCCCCUUCUAUCCCCACCUUUACUCCCACGAACCCUUUGGGCGGCUUCCUCGAAGCCCCCUUCUCGCUUCCCAUGUGGACGCGGAAGCUAAACAGCCGGUUUUGAUGGUGGUGGUGAUCCUUGCCUUCAGUCCUUAUCCCCAAGGAAGGUAACAAACAGCACGAUAAGAAGAAAACUAGAAGAAAGGGAUCAGAGAGAGACUAACUUAUGGACUAAAGCGAGAAGGGCCACGGAUCGGAACUCGAUAUUGCGAGGCAGAAAAGGGUGAAAGAGGACUCGCAAAGAGAUGUUGGGACGUUCGACAUGAUGGAAAUUUUAACAAGCGUAUUAGAGGCGAUGCAAGAUGAUAUAUAUAGGGAGAGAGUUGUAGGCCUUUGGAGGAAAGAAACGGAAUUAUAGAGAUAUACUCGUAUUAGCUUGGUUUAUUCUCUCUGUAUCGCGUCACCCGGAAGUCUCCCGAAAAAGAAGGAUUCACCUUCCUCUCGCGAAUCCUACGCGUGAUUUGAGAUAUGUGCAGUCGUGAUCCAACGGUUGAUGUUCUGAAAGAAGUUGUGAUACAACCCGAAGUCCGCUCGGAAGCUACGGGUUGCGGCCCUGCGAAUCCGCUAUAUUGGUUGAAUUCACAACCAUGGUGGAGUCGGAAUUUGAGUAGGAUUCCUCCGGCGACGCCGCCAGGCGUUAAGGAAGGUAAACGAUUACAACGCGGAACAGCUUAUUCACCAACGAGAGCCUGACGCGUAAGUGCUAAGAUGCGGGUCCCACGUUAAAUUAGAGCUUCUUUUCACUGGAAGGAUGUGUGACGACCGAAUUGUGUAGAUUUUCUCUGCGUAGCCGCCUCCAUGUCCCCGUCCGUUUAGAAACUCAAGCAGAGCAUUACGUUGAUUCGAUGUCCAAAAGAUUCCAACUGGAUUCAGAGAUUUGUGUAUUAGGAAGAGUCGCAGCCGGGAGGAUCUUGGAUCAUAAAUAAUAAAAUUUGAAAAAUUUUGAAUGUUCCGAGAUCUUCGCGGGAUUAUUUAAAAUCAAAAAAAUAAUCUUGGCUGUUAUACAAUUAUUUUUUAUUUUAAGCUAUUAAUUUAUAUAAAUUAUUUAAGAUUUCAGAUAAGGCACUACAAAAUUUCAAAUUCAUAUAUUCAUGGUCUACCGGAGAAGAUGUGACGCAGUUGCAUUCUUUGCUCGCAGAAAGUCAUCCAUCUGUGGAUAUCAAAGCAAGCAAUAGAUGAUCCAUGAUGGAUAAUCCUUUUUUUGCGCGUAGGAUAUAUCUAAGAUCCGAAAAAGAAAGAUUUUUAAGAUUGAUGAUAUUGCUUAUACUUUUCAUAUGCACGAUAUUAACAUACAUGUGUAUUUGAUAAUAAUCUCUUUAAUCUAUUCCAUAGUGCUUGCUGAUGAGCAUUUUCUACCUUAAUACUCUAUUGGCUAAUUUCUUGAGAUACAUGGUUUAUAUUGAUUGAGAUCACAAAGAACAAUAUCUGUACUAUAUAUAUAUUAUUGGAUAAGAAAGAAAUAUGCUAUUUAGAUUCUAUAGAAUAUGAUUAGCAUUUCUCUUCAUGAACAUUUGUAAAAAUAUAUAAUUAGGAAAUUGUAUAUAAUCCAUGUGCAACUCUGUGUAUUCUUGAGACUUUCUUAGAUAUUCCUAACUAUUUUAACUCUAUUUUGUUAAAAAAAAGUAAUCUGUAUCCAUCUCUAUGCAUAUUCCCAACUUGUUAAACUUUUUUUAAAAAAUAAAAAUUAAACAAAAACAUUAACAAAAACAACAUCCACAUAUUUUAUUUCUCUGAUCCAUUAAUUCUUAGAGCUUUUUAUAUUUUUCAAAAUAUAGUGCCUAGUUGCUAGAGUCAAGUUAUAUUAAUCUUGUUGUUUUUUUUUCUAAAGAUGUAUUGCACCUGUCUGGUUGCUAAUCUCAAAUUAUACUGCCUAAUAUUGAUUAAAAACUAGUAUUUUGAUGGAGAUGAGUCUGCCGAGCUCAAGCCCAAGGCAUUGAUUAAAAAUCUGGGUUUUUCUUUUUUGCCGCACGUCAACAAGGCAUUGAUGCUUUAUAUUAUGGCCUUGGGGCUCUUAGGAGUGCUUUUUGCUUCUUUUAUUUUUGUUUCAAAUUUUGAUCCCCUGGCUUUGGACCGCCGGAUUCACUCUCUCAUGCUUUCCGGCUCCCUCCCCUGGUGUUCUUUCUCUCUAACUGAUCUUGCCUAACCUGGUAGAAGUUUCCAAGACGAGCCCUUAAUCUUAAUUUCAACUAAUAUAAAAAGCACCAAUAAUUUCUAUCCACAGGCCCUUAUAAUCCUUGGAUUUAGCUUCGAUCAUCACAAGCAUUCAAAUUAAAACCCCAAAUUUUCCUUAUAGAGAUAUACUCACUUGAUCUUUUUUUUCCGACAGGAAAGAUGGGAAGGACCCAUCAAUUUAUUUCAUGUUCUUGCUUGAAUUUUUCGUUUCCAACUCAAAUUACAGUCCAGAAAAAUUUCCAGCAGCUAGAUGGACUCUGGAUUAGAUCUCUCCCACUCCUAUCGCAAUCCUCCAACUUCCCAACCCAAAUGUUUCUUUGUAUGUCUAUGAAAUAUGAUGAGUUCUCGGAGGACUUGGAGAGUAGUCCAAUCACCUUUCCAAGGCCAUAUUUCGGAGUUUGAAAGAGAAAAAGGGAAUAAGUGGCUUUCAUUCUAGCCAUUUGGUUAUAAGAAAAAUCUUACUACGAUUUUAAUUUUAGAAAAUAAUAAGAAUUAUAUCCCAAUUUCCAAUGACCAAAUUCCGACUCUCUUCUCAUAUUCAAAUCUUAUCACGAUUGAGAAUAUAUGGCCAUGCUAAUUUUUACACCGAAUCUGAUUUCGAUCGUGAACUAGAUGCAUCAUAUGUGUCAACCACACCCCAACAAAGUUGGAAAAAGAAAAGCAUUAAAAAGACGGUAAUUAUUUUUGAAAAUGUUCUGCUAGAAUCCUAUCAUUUCAUUUAAAUUGACCCAAACAACGCCAUGAAGUUACUUCUGCGACUUUGUGCCUAGAGGAACCGGAUUCCCUUGACGUAGCAUCUGAGGCCAGCUCCCAUGUCGCCAUCCUUGGAGCCACUCGCGGGCCAGAUUUCUCUAGAUCUGAGCCAUAGAUCGGUCGACCUUAUCCCGUGUCAUGUCAUCAAUGGCUCUGAUCAGAGGACCACGGGUAGCAACCGAUAGACGAAAUGCAUCGCAGACGAGUGCAUUAGUGCAUCGAUUAGACUGCGAAUUGGCUUCUAUCGUUGCCUUCGGUUUGGCGAAUUUUGCCUCCCUUGGGUCGCACCAGAUCGCUUUCGCCCCGCUGACUACCAACCAGGAUUCGGGACGAAUGCUUCAAAGACAGAUAUUUUUAUAAUAUUGUCUGCUUAUCUGUUACGAAAUCAUUUUCCUAGUUAUUUUUUUUCUUCUUACUUUCAGUUUGAGUAAACAUCGCUCAUACAUCUCCUUGUGUAAGCCAGAUUGUGACCAUCACGUGCCUUUAUUUUCUUCCAAAAUAGUCUUUGCUGAGAGGAUCGUGUUCUCAUCGGUUGACCUUUUUCUGCAGGUGUAGACUUUAGAAUAUGCAAAGGCAAAGUUUCAUUAUGAGUGGGUCGUGUUUCCCUCUCAUAUCAGCAUCGGUACAACUUAAAAUCAGCUGUUGGGUCAAAUUGGGCUACCAGAAAACCCAACACACUCUUUUUUCUUAGGCUCGUUUGGCUCGCAAAAAAAAAAAGAAGGGAAGAAAGUGUGGUUAACUUAAAAGUAAUGAGAUGCUUCUCGAUUAGUUGGAGUUUUCAAAUGAGAGAGACGAAAAAAUUGUAUUCCUAUAAGAAUAUGAUUCCCACAUUUUAUGAAAAAGUCUUUUUUAUAAGAAACAUGGAAAAGUUACUUUCCCAUGAGUUGAGAAUCACUCCAUUUUUGUUUUCUUCCAAAAAAGCUCUUCAGCAUGAAAGAGGCAUUAAAGACCUAAUUUUUAUUAAGGGUAUAACAGAAAUUACACAUAACUUAUCCAGAAAAGUGAAUAAUCAACCAAACAUGCCAAAAGUACUUUUUCAGGUAUCCUCUUCCUAGAAAUCUGCUUUUUCAGGAAUCAUAUUUCUAGGCAAAAAAAUGUUUCCCGCGAACCAAAUGAGCCCUUAUUGUAUCCUUGUCAUCCGGGGAGUACACAUAACGGAAAGCCCUCAAUCAAGCUAGCCUAGUGACCAUGUAUACAUUAAGUUCAUCUUUUUUUAUGAUAAUUUCUCAUUUAGAUAGUAUAUAUCAUUAUUUUUUCAAUGUUAUGCACAAAACCAUAUGCUUGGAUUUUCAAAAUGGUUCAUUCUAUAAAUUUCUUCUUUAAUUGAAUACUAAUAAGUCGAUUAAAUGUUGCUCAUAUAUAUUUUUUACAGGAUAUUUAAAUUUAAAAUAUCUUUAAAGCAAACUUCAUUUUUCCGUAUGUUCAUUUGUGCGCACAUCUCUAUCUAGUUUUGCGAACAUCCUGUGUUUUAUGACCAAUCUCUUGCAUGUCAGUCCCCUCGUAGGCAAAAUCUUCAGAAGAAGCAGCCAAAAUGAAUGAAAAGGAGAGUGGGCAAAGGGUUAGAAGAAUGCUCCCGUUAUGAAACAAGAAGAGUAUAAUCCUGCUUCUGUUACAGAAAGAUUUCUACCAUGGAGAGUUAGGUUAAAAAUAUGAAUCUCUUAUUUUUAUAUAGAUUUAAGCACAGAGCUAAAAAAUUUUCUGCCUAUCAUAAAUUAAACGUUACAAAAUAGCUAUCAAGAGUGUAUGCAAAAUUAAAUUAUACAAAAUAUUACUGAAAUAUUUGCAAGAGUUCUAGAAGACUCGUAAAGCUUUUCAAGUUUCAUAAGUUUUUUUACUAAAAUAAAUAAUUUAUGUAGUUCUGAUACAAAUACAUCAAAUAAAACCAGAAUACAAUGACUUUUAUAGACUCGCCACGCCACACCAUCUCUCUAACCUUCCUUAGAAAGGCACGUGUAUAGCACGUGCAGUAUACUAGUUUCUUAUAAGCGCGGCUAGGUCCAGGCUGUCGAGGGUGCAGGCUAACCAGAAAAGCGGCUGGGUUUCGAAGAAUAUCGCGGUGGGGACUCGAGAAGAAGCGACGAAGAAGAGAGUGGAGAGGAGAAUCGGAGAUGCCGUGCCUCAAUCUCUCCACGAACGUGAGCUUGGAUGGGGUCGACACCUCGGCCAUCCUCUCCGAGGCCACCAAGACUCUGGCCAAGCUCAUCGGCAAGCCCGAAGCCGUCGGUGCCCCUCCUCUAAACCCCUCCCUCCGCUCUCAUCUCCUCCUAAUAUCAUAUCUUUUCCUUCCCAUAUCUCCGGAUUCUUUUGUGCUUUUUCCUUGUCUUGAUGCAUUUGAGCUGCUUUGAUGUGAAAGACGAUAUCUUGCUUGAGAUUGGAAACGAAUUUUUCCUAUUCUCUCGUCUUAUCCUGUCAAUGAGUCCUUCAGUAUACGUCUUGGUCUAAUUCUUGUUUGGUGUCUUUUUCUCACCAUUUAGAAGUCACAUGGUUUCGAUUAAUAUAAGAAUGAUCCGGUUUCUCUAUGAAAUGGAACCACUGCAUCGGGUUCUUAUCUGCGUUGGGUUACUGCCCUAUUUCUAUGCGGUGAAGACAGAGGUCUUGUUUCUUCAGAAAGUGAUCCUUUUAUUCGUGCUAGUUGAUUCGGUUUGGUUAAUGUGCUUCCCUUUUGCUAUUCAGUGUUUUUAAUGCAUUCUCCGAUAGAUUUAUGUGCGUACUGGAGAAUAUUAUAUAUGAUCGAAGAAGUUCAAUUUAUUAUCUGGGGAGGUUUAUCUUCACUUCUCUUAUGCAACCUAACUGGUUGUUACCAGUUAGGAGUAUAGCUUUGGUAACUUAUAAUGGCAGGUCAAGGAAGCAUGGAUUGACACCAAAAGGAAAGGUAUUUUCUAUAAAGCUAUACCACGGUACUUCAGAAAUAUCACUCAAAAAAAGUCAGGGAACACUUUGCUUCACUCAAUGACACCCUUCACGAUGCCAAUUUAAAGGGACAAGCUGUUUGACUUUUGGAGUGGCCUCUAUAAGUUAAUUGAGCAUUUUCUUCUUUUAUAUGUUGAGUUAAAUACUAAUCUGACGCCCCAUGGAAACUUGAUUCCUUAUUUAAAUACUAAUUUCCUUUUCUUUUUUCAUAAAAAUUUGAAAUAUUGUUGCUUCAAACUAAUUUGCUCCAUUUUUUCCCAUCCUAAAUUCUUUUAUUGCAUGUGGUUGCCUUGAUUUGACAUAUUUUAGGUUAAGAUUUAGUUGAGUUUUGAAUUUAAGUUGCCUGAAGAAACUAGUUCUUUUGGACACCAUAGUUACAUAUUCUGAGUGUUUUACUUUUAUGUUCCCUCUGUUGACAGUACGUAAUGAUAGUGCUCAAAGGGUCAGUACCGAUGUCAUUUGGAGGGACUGAACAGCCAGCUGCAUAUGGUGAAUUGGUUUCCAUUGGAGGCCUGAAUCCCGAUGUAAACAAGAAACUGAGUGGUGCUAUAGCUUCAAUUUUGGAAACUAAGUUGUCCGUUCCCAAGUCACGAUUCUUUCUCAAGUUUUAUGACACAAAGGCAAGCCAUCCGAACUUCUCUAGCUGACCCUAAAAUGGGUCAUUACUGGUUAAUUGUUUUUCUCAUUGCAGUUUCCUGUCUUUUAGGUCCACCAAACUCAAGAAUAUGCACAAUGUUUGCAUGCUUUGCAUCAGCAAUAAAUCAUGUAAAUAACCACUCACUGUUUAGAUAUUCCUAGUAUUGUGACCCAUGUUUAUCACCAUUAGUUCUAGUUUUGAGGUAUUUUUUUUUCCUUACUUACCUAAAACAUAGGUAUUCAUGGAUUUACUUUUUCUGCUUUGCAGGGCUCAAACUUUGGGUGGAAUGGUUCUACUUUCUAGGUUCAGUGCUUGCCUGGUCUGUUGCAUGACAUGUUGGAACAUAUGCAAUAAGCAAAAUGACUAUUAUUAACUUGAGAUUUUAUUUGGUUUGGUCUAACUGUGGUAUUUUGUUUUGAGCUUAUCUACAUAACCAUAUCAUGGCGAAACAUUAAGCUGAUAGUAUAAUGAUCAUCUUUGUCUGAACCAAUGGUGUUGACAAGUACUAGAUUCUGCAAGAUUUCUAUUUCAAUUGAUUGUGUCUUUGAUUAUGAUAAAGUAUCAUAUUUUGAUGAUUUGAUUUCAUUACUCACACCUCAGGUAGUUGAAUCCUAUGAAAAAUGUCUAGUUGCAGGGCAAUUUUUUAACUUAUGGUCAUAGUGUUGCUUUAUUUUAUUAGUCACUGUUAAUAUUGAAAACCCUCCAGAAAAUGACCAGGUCAUAGCGCGAGUCGAAAAAACAGGGGGACUGCAUUUUAUGCAUUGGUCAACUUGAAUGUUGUGUCAUGAUGCUGGCUCCAUGUAAUCUGUAUACGUCUUGUUGUUGCUAAAGAAUAUCACUAGCUAUAGCAAGAGGCAUGAGUGGUCAAAACAUUUACAUAAACUCUCUAGCUAGAAUUUUUGUUUUAAAAUGUUUCUAUUAGCAGCCUCACAGUGGUUUAGUUGAGUAUUUUUCUGAUGGUUCUUGUGCUCACAUUACGAAAAGCUUGUAAGAAAUGGUUAAUUGUUCCCCAAUACUUGUUCAUGCAUUUUUGUUGACUAGAGCAUGAUGUGUGUGAUGCAUGCAACGUGCAGUUGUGGAAGGAGGGAGCUUCAUGAACAACCAUUAGAAAAAUUUGAAUUAAGUAGUAGAAUAAACUCUGUUUCCAAUCUCAUAGUAGCACAACCCAUCCAAUUCUGUGUCCUUUUGUGCCCACUUUCUUAUCUGGACGGUUGUCACCAGUUCUAUAGAUGUUAUAUGAUCUAGGAGAACAAAAGAAUAAGCUUCCUGGCUGGAGAAACAGAUGCGUUUGUAAUACAGAAAUAAGGGCUGUCUCUUUGACAGUGCAUUCUUCUUUAAAUGUUUAGCAGAAUAUGAUUCGCCUGUUUACUCUAGCUUAUAGAAUGAGGCAACUCCUCUCACCUAUCUUUAGGCUAAAAUAUUUAGGACUGAUGUAUGUUAGUGCUAGUGGAGCAAUAGGAUCACCCAUCACCAUUACAUAUUUGGGAAUUUGUUUAUCCUAGCAUGGAUAAUUAGGUGUUUAACAAGUAUAAUGGUGAUGCGUAAUUUCAUAGUUCAUGCAUUACAACCAUACAGAUCAUUGUCUAAGCACAAAUAUACAUGAUAGCAACACACUCUUGCUGUUUAGACACAGAUGAGUGUCAUGGAUCGUGAUCCUAUGCUACUUUUGGAAGGGGAAGAUAGAGCAUUUCUCUGAACUCCAACCUCCUUGUUUCGCUGUAGAAGGUUCUUUGUCUGUUGGGCCAGUAGGUUAACCAAAUCCAGCCUUUGAUUUCCCACUCCAUUUUCUUCCCUAAGGCUCCUCCACACACCUUCCACCACACACUCUCUCCAUACUCAUCUCCUGCAAAGAUUACUCCUCCUCGUUUUGUAAAGGGCCUGUAGGCACUAGAGUAGCGGUCUCUAAACCAUGUCCUUGGUUGAAGUAAUGACAAUUUUGAAGGCUUGGAAGAGAAAACCUCUCUGCCGUGCACCCCAUCGCGAAGAAACCAAUUCAAAAUUGCACUACCACCAUGUGCUGAUUGUUCAAAUUUCCAUGGUUUCAUGCUCAUAGUGACAGUUUCUGUGGCUGAAACUUUGAAACCCAAAUAAGAAUUUGGGGGAUCAAAUGAGCCUUCAAGGGUCUUCUCGAGGCCAACUUCAUGAAUUGGAUUGUCAGAAGAUUUGCUUACUGAAACUGACAUCACAUCAGACUGCAGGGUUGGUGUGAGUCGCAAAGAUAUACGAGAUGGAAAGUGUUUCUCCUCAGUCCCAUAGCCUCGUUCAGCCAUUAGAGUUUCAGAUACCAGUGGGUUCACAUCGCAUCUGGCAUAAGUGAAAUGAGUAAGGGUGCAUCUAAUUGGAUUAUCACUUAUUAGAUAACUAAAUUCUACAGAGACGUGCAGUUCAGCUGGAUACGAUGCAUGCCUGACAUUAUAGUAUAGAUACGGACUAUUAGGGUGCUCAGGAUAGAUUCUCAGGAUUGUCCUAUUGUUUACUAUCUGCAACUGGGUUAUUUAGAGCUAGAUGAUGCACGCCAGUUCAUUCAUAGAUACAUGUAGGAUUUGAAUUGAUAAGUAGUGCACUAACCUUACGUUGUCCACAUUCACCACCACAUCAAUCCAGUUUUCCCGUAUGAUGACCUUGUAAGCGAGUUGGAUCACCCCUUCAAGCUGUUGGUACUUCAAAGAAAAGAGCAGACGUUCAUCCUGAGUUGCAGCAGUAGGAUUUUCAAUGCUCAUGGCAAUGAUUGGGCAAUAUAACUGCACUUUCCAUAGCCCACUAGCGGAGAAAGCAUAUGAAAACAGAGGUGAAGGUGUUUUGAAUGAGUGAUUGAAAGGUUGAAACUCUUGAAUCCAGUUUGUUAUGGCAAGGUUUAAGGAUCUCAUCCACUGCUCUUCGAGGUUGGAUCCGAGGACCCGCACGAGAAGCUUUGAUGCUUCUCUGCACCUUGAGGAGGUUAAUUGAAUCCGCAAAGUGUCCAGGCAUCCCUGGCGAAGGUUGUUAGGGGCUUCAUAGAUGCAGAUGAGGAAAGCAAGUGUGAGGAAUGCUAGAUUGAACACAUCUCUGAAAUCUUCUGUGGUUUCUACUGCAGGGAAUCUGAAUGAAGUUUUCUUAACGGGACCAUACAUAAGAACGCCAUUGAUGAUAUCAAAGAAGAGAUGGAGGACAUCUUCUUCUUCUAUAGAAGGCUGAGUUUUGUUUUUCAGGUGAAUAGGACUGGAUGUCCAGAGGGGGAUCGGCAUAUUAAAAUCUGCAUAGAUAGAGAAGGAGACAUAUGGGUUUUGGCUUUGGGAGCUUCUGGUGACUGAGAGAUUCAUAGAGGGAUGUGUUGAUCCUAUGGUACAGAUGCAAAGAGACAUGACAUUUGUGUUCCAUUGGGUGAUUGCGGGAAGGUUACUGAUCCAUCCCCAUACAUCAGGAACAAAACUAGAAGCCAUGGAAAUGAGUUUGUAGUCUUAGAAAUCCCUCCGUCUGAUACAUCCAAAACUUAGGCAAGGGAUUAUAUAGCUGCAAACUAGAUAUCCACUGAGACAAAGAAGUCAAAAGGUAACUCAACACUGAUUCCACCACGUGAGAGUUUGCUAUCGUGAUAAAGUAGAUUCUUGAUGUGCGAGAGGGGAACUAAAUAUUUAGUGCAGUAUUAACUUUUUCUUCUUUUCUUCUCUUCGGAAUGUAUAACAGAGAAGUGGUAUUUUGAAUGACGACGACUAUCUGUUUCUAAUACCAUCUUCUCUGGCUUCAAAUUCCCUUUGACAAAAUCAUCAAACUUAUUCAUGUGUCUCGGAUAUUGCAUAUGGGAAAACUUAAAAGUAUUCUCUAAUACUGAUAGUUUAAAUCUAUCCAUGAUGUUAUCCUAUAAGUUAGGCAAAAGAGAUAACUUUGUACUUUAAUUGGUGGAUGAGGAACAAUGUGCUGUUCCAUACAUGCUUAGAAAUAUUCGAUUUAGAUAGGAAAGUGAAUUUGGUCCAUACCCAUUGCACAAUGGCUUCCCUUUUCAUGGAAUCGAUUCUGUUCCACUCUUUGUGAGCACAGCACAUGUAUCUUCCUCAUUAAGCUUGAACAAGCUUUUUCUUUGAAGUGAGCCUAACUUAUGCAUUAUUAGACAAGUUAGGAUUAUAUUCUUGACUUUUAGUACUUCUCUUGUUGAUUUUGAGUCUUAACAGAUUUAUGAACCAAGGCUUGAAAAGGGACUCAUUUAUUGAUGUGGAUUACCAUUCUGAGCAGCAGCUUUUCUUGUUAUCUUGUAAGUACCCUUUCUGAGGGAGCAACCGUUUGCUUUACUGAUAAGAGCUCAUUAAGGUCAUGCUGGAGAAAGUGCAAAAAUCCACCUAAUGGACAAAGUUGGGGGAUUUAGAGUAUCUGUGUUUUUCUGCUCUCAAUCAAGGUCUUGUACCGGAUAGGUCCAACCCCAUAUAUUCUCUCUCAAAUAUUUCUCGUACUAGUAUUUGUGAAGUACGUCCAUAAAGAGAUUUUUUUUUUUGCAGUUUCCUGUAGUUUUGACUCGAUUAACAAGUUCUUCAGCUGGUUUUGCGCAAUAUGAUUAAAAUGAAUUGAUAUCAUUUACUGCUUUCUUGGUCUUUCUCAAUAGAAGCUUGGAAUCCAGCAGUUUCCAUCCUCUCCCUCUUUAUUUCGGGUGAGCGGCUGAAGGUCUGGAUGGUGGAUGUAACUGCAGCCCCUCUACCGCUGCCAUAGCUGGCCCGUGAAUUUUUUGACAAAAAGCUCGCCAGAUACCAGUGAUGACAUCAGCCCAGAGUGAUUGAAAACGCUUUGAUCUAUGGUGGUCUUAUGCUGUAUCGCAAUCAGAUUAUGGGGCAUACCAGAACAUCACAUGACUGCAAGAUUAAAAUCGAAAUUAUAGUCAUGAAUGUGAAAACUAGAACAACUUGCAAUAGAUGAACACAGAAUAGGAAAUAUCAUGAAAAACUAUGAACCGGACAAAUUGACACAAAUUCGAGCUUGAUUCAAACUAUUCAAAAUCCAUGAAUGUGUCUGUAUAAUAGAUUGUAUUUGCUCUAUGACUUGUUGAGGGAUUAGCUGGGUUGGUCAAAUGAAUCUGCUUAAGGUUGAUUUGGUUGUCUGUAACUGAUAUAUGAACCUACUUCAUGUCAGGAGGAGCCUAUUUUGAGUAUUUGAUUGGCCUGGAGUGGAGCUACAGCAAGUUUCCGCAGCACUCCAAUUUAGAUAAAAAUGUCUCAAGUGGCGGAUAGGGCUCACGAAUCCACCGUUGAAUCACGCAUCUCAUAGAUUUUAAAGCAUUCUGAACUUUAUCAUUCACCCGCUUGCACAUGUCCAAAGCAGCCGAUGGGUAAUCCAAUGGUGGAUUUGCAUGAAGAAAGGUGGAUCCUUUCGUGAAAGAUACAAUCCCCUAUGCCAAAGUGGCUUCGAUGUAGGGAGAGAUUUGAAGCUAUUUUAGUGAUGCGGGAGCCAGUUUAGUUUACUUGGAACAAGCCAAAUGGUGCUUAUGACUUGAGUUGUACUUCGUUUCAAACCCAAAAUUAUGUGCCCUACUUGCACCCUCGGGUGAAGUGAAAAAUAAAACAAAAGCGCCGAAUGGAGAUGAACUAAAGGAAAGAAUGCUUCCAAAGGUCAAGGGCAUGGCACUUGACGCUGGCUGUGCCGCCUCGUAACAAAAGAACAACUUGUUUGGUCUGCAAGUUACGAACUUACGAUGCCUCUCAUCUCCGAUCCGGUUGUAUUGCAGGAUGCAAAAGAUUCUAUUAUUUUUCGACAGGGUGGAGCCGAUUCGACUCCAAUUUGUUAGAAUUCGGAAACCAUCGGGUCUCGUUAUAUUUUAACGUACAAACCAACGACUAAAGCAUUAGACCAGCGAAGCCAAGCACAAGUCCAAAACCACUUCCCCUCCGUCUUCUCCUUUCUCCUCUCUCUCUCGGAAGUCAAAAACCCAAAGACAUUCUAGUCUCAUGGACUCCAACGCCUCGCCGCCCAUCCUCCCCCUCUCCGCCGGCCAGCCCGCCGCCUCUUCCGCCGCCGGCGCCGCCUCCACCGCCCCGAUCUCAACCCCAGCCUUCCGCCGCUUCAUCUCCCGCCUCUCCGACUCCACCCGCCGCUCCCUCGCCAACCGCCGUCCCUGGUCGGAGCUCAUCGACCGUUCCGCCUUCUCCCGGCCGGACUCGGUCUCCGAGGCCACUUCCCGCGUCCGCAAGAAUCUCUCCUACUUCCGUGUCAACUACCUCACACUCCUCGCCGCCGUCCUCGCCCUCUCCCUCCUAUCCCACCCCUUCUCCCUCCUCGUCCUCCUCUCCCUCCUCGGCGCCUGGUGCUUCCUCUACCUCUUCCGCCCCGCCGAUCCCCCGCUUGUCAUCCUCGGCCGCACCUUUUCUGACCGCGAGACCCUCGGCGCCCUCGUCCUCCUCACCGUCUUCGUCGUCUUUCUCACCUCCGUCGGAUCUCUCCUCAUCUCCGCCCUCAUGGUCGGCGCUGCCAUCGUGGCCGUCCACGGUGCCUUCCGCGUGCCGGAGGACCUCUUCCUUGACGACCAGGAGCCAGGCGGUGCCGGCUCAGGCUUGCUGUCCUUCCUUGGCGGAGCCGCCGUCUCCGCCGGCCCUGCUGUUGGCGUCUGAUCUGGAUCUGACGGUUGUCUCGGUUGCGAUCGUUGAGGUUUGUAACUUAGGUUAUCCCCUUCUCUUCCCCUUACCUUCUAUUGAUGCUUUGGUAGGUAGGAGAAGAUAUUCUUGGAUAACUAGGGUUUAAUUAAUAUUAUAAAUUAGAUCGGGAGAGAUUUACGACUCUGGAUUCAUGUAACUAUUUUUGGAUGAUCAAUGCUUACAAGUUGUUCUCUCAAUGUAUCAGUGGCUUUGUUUCAGAUCUAUGGAAGAAUCUUUGCUGAUUUUAAUUGCAUUUAUUCUUUUGUUAUAUUUCUUAUCAAGAAAUUAUCUUUCCUUAUGCUGAUUUAAUGUGGUUGUUCUGUGGGAAUUGAGAUUAGAUCUAGCUGUUUUGUGUCUCUUACUCCUCUCAGAUUCAUCUUUUAAUACUUAGCAUUUAUUUUAUAUGAAGAUCUAAUGAUUAAUAACUGGCAAUUUCAGAUCUGGGAACAGUGAUAGGAAUUUUAAUUAUAGCUUCUGGGACUUGAAUUCUAGAUCUUGAUGUAUCUGGUGUACAGGCUGUUGUGUUUUGCUUAGAGAUGAAAAUGAUUUUGGAAUUUAUAUAAUUUCCAAAAUUUUCAUGGUAUAUGCUCAAGUUUUCGAGUUACCACAGACACUUUUUCUGCUGGCUGUUUGACAUGUGACCAAUAGGGCCUUGUCUUUUAUUAUUGUGUUUGGUAAUCAUGAUCUUUUUGUUGGCAUAAUUUUUUAGUGCAAGGGAUUUAUUUUUACCUGUGGGUUGUAAAAUCAGAAGAUUCUUAUGAAAUUCGCUUCACAAACAUUGCUGUUUGUAUUAUAACUACUGUUGUGUUGUCACUUUUACUGUGAUGCAAAUGACUGAGGACAUCUUAGAUACCUUGAUGCUCAUAUAGGGUUUAUCAGUCAUCAGACAUCUAGCGAACAUAGGCUUGGAAACUUAUGUCAGGGAGUUGUAAAAAUGAUCUGUUUUGGUAGGGAAGUUCGAGUAAGUUUUUCCAGUACAUUAUGAUGUCCUGUGAUUGUCAAGGAAAAAGGAUUCCAAAUUAUGAUGCAUCAGUGACUAAUUAUUUAGAGCUUCUUAGGUAUAAUUUGUUCUGCUAUUCUGUUUUGACUAUAUUGUAACUUAUUUUGACUUUGAUAUGGAUACAUGUGGUGGAAACUGCUGCAUGGAUGCUUUUGUUGAAAACAUGAUAUGCAUUUUUUGUUAGUUAACUAGGGCUCUUCCUGUAAGUUUCUUACAAGAGCUGAUGCUGAUUGAUACUCUUUAAUAUUGAUUUUAUAAAGAAGCUGUUGAGCCGAUCAGUGAUCUCUUAUAGACUUUUUUACAAGGCUUCCAUUUCCAAAAGUAUAGAUAGUUUAUAUGCAGGGAGAAAAUUUUGGAUUUUAUACAGAAAAUUCUGUUACAGCAGUGUAAGUGGUGCGUGCCCUCAUUGCUUCUUUGGACAGGAGAUUACAAAUCACCUAUUGACUGGAGAACUUUGAUAUGCCUACAAGCACAUCAAAGAAGUGGUACAGGGUAAGUGGCUGUCCUAUAUCCUUUUUGGUCUCGGAAGCAGUACCUCCUAACAAUCAGCACCUUGUGGGCCUAUUGCUCCUUGUCAGUUUGGUAGGGGCUGUUUGGUUGACAGAUUUUAGUAAAACAAGUUUACAAAAAAAUUCAAAAUGAAUUAGUUUACAAAAAUGAUAAUUUAUUUUUUAUCUAUAAAAUCUGUUUUGCCAAAAUUGUUGAGUCAUAAGACCUGAAAACUGAGUUUUAUAUAGGUCUCUCCCUAUAUUUUUAAAAGCUAUUUUAGAGAAAGUCAUAUUUGGUGAUUGUCUUUUUAGAAAAACCCACAGGCACCAAACAGCCCCUUAAUGUUAUAGCAUAAUUGAAAUUGCUACUCCGGAAAAAUCUGUCAAGUUUACAAGAGAUUGUGCCGGAUAUUGCCCAAAAGAAAAUCUUACAAUGAACUGGUGGAAUGAGGGACCCAAGUAGAAAAAGAAAACUGCUGCAAUGAAAGUUUAUCCACUGCAAUUAUCUCUUUUUCAGGUUCCAGAAAGGCAUCUCUAUCUUCUAGUUUAUUGACUUUUGAGUUUAUGAUUUAGGUCUUUUUUGCUAUAUUAGGUAAAUUCUGUAGCUAGUGAUCUUGAACCAGAUACUUUGUUUCUUGGACUUGCUUUUGGUGCUUCGUUCUCCUUUUUGAUAAUCUUUUGGAUGAUGGUCUGACUGGACUCAUGCUUCGGUCCUUGUUUAGCUGUGAGGUGACCUCUCGCCUUCAUUUUCCUCUUAUCUUUUUUUCUCAAAAAAAUAAGCUCCAUCUUUUUUUUAAUGAAGGAUUGGUGUUGAAGGGCACCCUCACCAAUAGAAAAUGAAGUGGAGUGUGUGGAAAUAAAGAAAGGGAAAAUCCAGAAAAUGAUAUUUUUUGAGGUUUUUCCAGCACUAAGAUACCUAAGGCAGUGGUGGCGAAAGGAUGAAUGAAGCGGAUAUGCUCUUCUACGGUGCUGUGAGUCAAAGAAUGGCAGUAUAGUUAACAGCACCAAGCAUAACUGAGGUUAUGAUUAUCUUAAGCCUUGGAAUGUCUGGUAAUUUACAUAGAUGAGGAUGCAAGAGAGAUGAUAUUAAGAUGAUGGAUGUGGCCAUGUGGUGGUGGUGUUCAAAUCUCUAGAGAACAAGAGGGGGAGACCGGCUAUCUAUGCUGAAGUCAUAUGAGUAAAAUGGAAUCCAUAUGCAUCAGAGCAGACUAAGAUUGGAUUUUAGUUUAUCGAUUCUUAUCUAACAUGUUACAGGUUUCUAGUUGGUAUUAUGUCUCCAGUCUCGUUCAGUUGUUUGUUUUAAAAAAAGGAAUUGGCGCUUUCAUGAUGCGGAAUGACCCUUUCUAAGUCCAUAUUCCAUAUAUGAUAUAGGUUUAAGCCAUACUUUUCACAUCAUCAUUCUGUUCCUGAUUAGUCGAGGAAAAAGAACUGGUCGCCCAUUAUUUGUGUACAUAAUGGAUAGUUAUGUCUUUCAUGCAUAUGACUGUGGUCGCUUUACUCAGGAUCUUGAAAAGCCAGAAGUUAGGUCAUGACUAUCCUUUAAACUUAACUCAAAAAGAGAGCCUACAACUGAAAAGUCUUCAGCAUGGUAAAGUUAGUAUGGAAUUUCAAAGUCAGUUGUGCCUGCUAUAAUUGAAUAUAGACUGCAGGUCAAAAUUUACAGAAAGCCACACUGGGAAUGAUGCUUUUUAUUUGGAAUAUGGUAUCUGGACGAAGGGUGACAACGCGAUAUUUUUUUAGUUCUUUCCCGUAAAGUCAAGGUCCGGUGAAUAAAUGUUCGGUUUAUUGUCAUCGUAUCCGGUACCUCUUUUUUGGGUUAACAUGAUAUGCGGUACUUUCCCUUGUGUUCUUUGUACAAUUAUAUGAAUGACUUCUUUCUUCUUUCUUUCUUUUUUGCUUUUUAAUGGGAAGUCCAGCAACGAUUUUUUGGAAUAAGUGAGAAGAGGUAAAAAGGUCAAAAAGUCUUAUAUGGUGGGUACUCAUUUGAUCUUCUAGUUGAAAGGGAAUCUUCCUGUUGGGUUUAAAAUGGAAUAAAACGUAUUCACCAAGCUCAUUUAGAAUUUUGUCCCAUUACGUAACAUAUGUAAUGAUAUGGUGGUUGCUUUUGUUUACACAGCUAGUAGAAAUGUGGUGAAUAAAAUUACAUACAUGAUCGAGAUAAUGAAUUAUUUGGAAGUAGAGGGCGAGCUUCUUUAGUUCUCUGUCCUUAAGGUGGGGGAUUAAAUUUGUUGAAGUUUUUGAUAAAGGAAUGUUUAUCUGAAUGUAGUUGAAUUUUAAGCAAGGCCAUAGUUCUUGAGUUUUGACAUUGGUCUUGUAGAUAAUCGAUUUCUGACUUAUUAUUUUGGAUCCUUUUUCAUUUAGUUGAGUGAUACACUCAAAUGGUUGCAAGUAGGUGGAUAACUUGCAGCCUGUUUGGUAUUGUUGUUUUGUGAUUUGUUUAUCUAUAAAUUAGUGAAAUAACAUGGAGAUUGAUGUUGAAGAUAGCUUUACACAAGAUUUCUGCCAUCCCUUGUUUUUACUUCACUUUUUUUUAAAGUAAUAAAUCUUUGCUCUCAAAAGUUCUAGACAUUUUACAAAUAUUUUUAAAAAAUAAAAAGUUUUCAUCAUGCAUAUUCAAUCUAGUUUGUUUUUCAUCUAGUGCUGUCAAAAACGAAAACAGGACAAAAGCAAUACCAAUCUAGCUCUCAUGGAUUGAUUUGUAACUUGAAGCUUCUAAGCUAUUUAACAUUAUUACAGCUACGACCAUGCAAUGUUUUAAACAAUUGGUGGUCAUGACAUACUUAGGGCGAUGGUAGAACAUGUUUGAUCUAUUGUUGACCCAUGGGCUUUUGGUAUGGUUUCCUCCGUUUUUGAGAGAGAGUGUAACGUGGACUCCAGCUGAAGAUAGGCCUACCAAAAGAACCAAAAAAAAAUCAUUGCUCAUCUACUAUAUCUAUCUCAAAUGGAGGCUAGCUUGUGCUGAGCUUUCCAUAUUAAAAAGAUAAUGUCAUUAAUACCCUUUUAAUAUUUGAGUAAGACUCUUACAGCUGAUACAGGCGAAAGAUAGGCAUAUAAUGAUACUUGUUUAUUAUCCAUCUAUUAUUUAUUAUUUAUACAUAUAUCAAAAAUGGAGGCUCGAUUUGAGAUGGGCUCUCUAUCACCAUGUGGAUGCGCAUACUAAUAAUAUUAGUAGUAUAGUUUUUUAGUUUAAAUGAUAAACAAGACUCAAGAGAAAAAUAGAUAUAUAAUAGUCAUUUAUAUAUCUGUUGUAAGUGAGUAUUAUAUUAUAUAUUUUUUAAAUGAUAUGGCAGUAUAAGUGGUAGUUUACCAUUUGUAAAAUUAAAUAUCAACCAUACUUAUAUAAUUGAUAUAAGAAUAUUAUUCGGUAAAAAUAGAUAAGUAUUAUAGUUAUCUAAAACAAUAUUGCCAUAUUUGAUGGAAGUUUCAGCCCCAUCAUCAUUAAAAUUACUUACUUAAUAUACAAUAAAAAAAUUAGCUAUUUAAGUUUUUUAUUUAUUAUAAUAUAUCAUAUUAUUGUAUUAUAUUUUGAGAAUAGUUAAAAAAAGGAAAAGAAUUAUAUCUCGAUGCAUCUUAGGAUUUGUAUUGGUGAUUACUAAUAUUAAUGAUGAUAGAUUUUUCAUGAAGGCUUAGCCUAUUUUUGGUUCGGUAUGUAGAUGAUGGUAUCGAUGACCGAAGUUUCUGCUCAACAAUUAUGAGACAUUGCGGCGAAGGCCGGAAGGCUGGAGCUUUGGGAUGAUGAGGGUGGGGCAGUUUCGACAAGGUGUUACUAUACGUGGAGGGCAUUGGUUGGGAGAUAGGAUGGGGCUACGCCUCCCCAGGCGCUGGUGACCAAGCAGCCGAGAUCCCAUCGAUCUUGUCAAGAUGCUGACCUCCACGAUGACAAGCAUGGAGGCUCUAACGAGGUAGAGAAGAUGCCAAAAGAGCCACCAAGGUGGUAGUCUGGACAGCAAUUCUAACCAUAAGGUCCCAAGUUCGAAUCGCUGCGGCGACGAUUAAAUUAUGGACCGGAGCUUACUACUUUGGCCACUGCUUGGACUUGUGGUGUAGGACCGCUCUUGAACCGCUAGUAGAGCUCAGAGGAGUAGCUGAGCCGGGCCCACGGGUGGAGAGGGUAUGAGUAAAAUUGGUCGGGGUGCCCAACACACGGCCAUUUCUGCCCGCAUCGAAUAUUCUCCUGGCGGGGCGGGGGCCCAGUUGGGGGCUGCUAUGUGGGGGUGGGCUUGUUUCUUCCUCCCCCUACCCCUUUUGUAUUAGCAAAAAAAAAAGGGAGGGACAUAGCCUUAUGUCAUGGACGCAGCUGAGUAAAGGUAGCUGGCAGGAUAGUUGGCCUAGACUAAUAAAUUCAAUAUGAUAUUUUUUUAUUAGUGAAUGUAAAAUGAUGAUAAUUUUUUAUUUAAUUUUUUAAUAUAUUUGUCACGGUUUGACUUUUUCUCGAAAGGGCUCACCUAUGGCUCGAGUCCUCUUCGACCCAAUUAGGCCCUUCUUGACCUUAGUGAAUAAUCUACCUGGCUAAUAAAAUUUGCAACACAUAAUAAACCCAACUCCGAUUCUUCUUGUUAUGGAUUCACAUUCCAAAAUGAUCAUAUGGCCCCGCUUCCUCUAUCUGUGACCCACAUCUUCCCUUUUUUUGCUCUCUUUUCUUUUUCUUUCUUUACUUUUGUUAACAUAGGAAAGGAGCCCAUCAGAAGGCGUUAGGAGAUAGGCUGGUGGGUCCAAAUAAUAUCCACGUGGAUUGAGCCGGACCAAUAUAGAGCUCGUAACUGAGAAACGGUCACACAUAAUUGGUACUCCUUCGAACCAAAUCAUUCCUAUCAAGGUAUGCCGUACCGGCUCCGUCCUGAACCGGUAUCGGGUCCUGAACCGGUAUCGGAUCAGCAUAGAAUCUGAUACCGGAAGCUUAUCGGGAAUGCGGAACCCUAAAACUCGGCCGAGAGUGGUACAAGUUGGUACAAAAUCGGUACAAUGCUGAUAUCGUACCAGUUUAGGCCGCCAUCAGUAGCUGAUCGAUACCGGUAUGGUAAAUCUUGCUUUCAACUUUACGUUUCCCGAUGCCAGAUUCCAUCUAAUUUUCAUUCAUAUGUAAAUUCUUCAUGAUGCUCUGACCGCAGGGGUUUUCCAGUGUGAAGCAGUUCUCAUGCGCAGAUAGCUUCUGCAGAUAGAUUUUCAGCACACUAACAAUUCUUGUAACCUAUUGGUAGGAGGGUAUCUCGCACCAAAACGCAGGUACACAGACACGGUUAGGACUGGAAGAGACAGGGUUAGGACUGGGAGCCACAAAGAACGAACCUAUCACCACUUAAAUGUUACAACAGAAACACACCAAAACAUGGCGCUCGGACACCACGGAAUUUUGUAGGUCAACAAUAACUCCUUCCAACUGUUAAAAUAUGCAUUCACAAUCAUUUCUUGUAACAGCACCCUCCCCCUAAAGAAAAAAAGAGGGCUAAAGAACCAUAUACCCAAAGUAACGGAAUGAAGUAAAAUAAAAUAAAAUAAAAAACUUCACCAAAAUCUGUUUAAGAGUAGUUGGUUCGGCUAGAAAAACACUUCGAUUUACAUUUUAAGUCACAUUUUAAGUCUUGUUAUUCUCUCGAGCGUACCCCCUUGUUUCUUCCGCCACCGCUGCCCAAACAUUCGCACCUUUCUCUGCAUAACCAACCUGUUUAAAAUGCAAUAUGUAAGUGCUUACAAAUGGCCAAGUUCCAUACCGAAUAAGCAAUAACAAAUGAAACAAAUUUAUGAUCAAACGAGAGCUUCCUAAUAGCAAAUGUCAACUAGAUGGUUGAUUGUUCCAUUUCAUGUUCAAUACCAAUUGUGAGCCAGCCCAGGAAAGGACGUAGAAAGAUCAUGUGCUCAGUGCAGCUUCAUUGAGGCAUAAAGUGAUAGUGCGCAUGAUGACCCUUGCAGCCCCCAUGCCAGUCAAAUCAUGAAUACACUAUGUAAUUCUGACAAGGUAUCAUGUAUCAUGUGGGGAAAACUGUCAUUUAAGCGUUACUGAAAGAGGUGGUAAAUGUCCUAGAUUUGCUUAAUUCCUUCAGCUAAACAAACAGUCAUCCAGUUUAUGCUUCCAUAAUAAUUCCAAAGCAUUAACAGCGUCAGCUGCCCUAAAAGUAGAUCUCCGUUACAUUAUUCAUGAAAAAGAGGGAUGAGACAAAAACAUAAGGGGUUGUAGAACUGUAACCUUAAAACAAAACCAUUAUGUUCUGUUCAGAAACCUUCUAAACUGCAAUCAAUAUGUCAAGUUUCGCAUUAGUUUUAUUUAAUAGAAUUACAGCACUUGUAUUCAAUAUUAAAUCUUAAAUUUCUUCCAAAGGAUCAUUGUUCAAGGAAGAUUAGUGUCCUGAAAUAUAACAUCCCUAUGCACCCAAUAAAUACCAAAAAAGUACAGAUUAGAUGAUACUAAACAAGGGCAUGAAAGAAGAGAUUUAGGAUAUCUAGGAAGAUUAUAGUUUUCGAUCCUAGUAAUGUUUGUUCGAUGACCCUCAGAAGAUAGAAGAGAAAGGACCACCUUAAAAUGAACUUCUACAUCUUAUAAUUUAAAAGUUUCAUGCUAACACUAAUGAGCAACAUAUUCAAACAAAGAAGGAAACCUUCAACCAAAGUACAUUGACAAGCAUAGUCUCUCAAUAAAAGGAUGAAUUAACCUUUUGUGAGUUUCUGUCAAUUCUUUUAACUAACGCCCUGCCAUCAGUCAUCAGUUUUCAUUUUGCAACUCAAAUAAGAGUUUCCUACCGUCCUCAGUAACCAUCAAACACUUGGAGACUGGUCCAUAUGAAACUGAUGAAUUACUUCACAGACAUAGAGCCUUACAUUUUUACUUCCUUUUUUAGAGAGUAAAGGUAAAGCAUUUUCGAUUUCCCAAUGGCUAUUCUAUAUAUUGUUCUUGAAAUGUUUGGAGACUAGAAACUUAGGCAUAAUUGAGUGAACAGAAACUAAAACUUGAUUCUAUGCACUAUCCGACAAUCAUCAGGGUUAAAAGAGAAUGGAACAUACUUCACUGAAUAUAAUUGAUAGUCAAACAUCUAAUAUUUUGAAGCCAUUCAGCAAAAAGUAGUACCUGAUUUAUUACAAAACCCUUCAGCAUGCUCAGAAAAUCAUCAUGCCUUUCUCUGUCUAAUCUCUCAAGUUCACUCCGGUUAUUUUCCUGCAUUACAUUAAAAACUGAAUCAGAGAUGUGCAUCUCCAAGUUGAAUCAUAAUCCUAAAAUCAAACAUUCUAAUUCGUAGAAAUACAUGCAUCAGAUAUCUCAAUGUGGGUCCAUUUUGGAGGAAUCAUAUCAGGCAAGAAGCAACAGGAGAGGGGGAUCAACAAAGACAAAGCAAAUAAGCAUAUUGUUUAUGUUGAAAUAUAAAAAGUAACAUAAAAAAAUGAAGUACAGAAGAUCCCAGAUUUCAGAUUUGUCAACAAAUUUACAAGCAAAAUAUAUGCAUUUUUAGAUGUUAAAUAUAUUAAAAUAAUGAAUGAAAACAUGCUCCUAUUGAACUAUCUUACACAAUAUUCUGAAAGAAUUUUUAUUUUAUAUAAAAGGCGAGCCUCAAUAGUCCAUUCAGCUGAAACAAAUAUCAUUUCUUAGCAUAUAUAACAGGAACUCUUGAGCACCUAUCGAUUAUCCAUUAUACAUUCCAUGGUUUCCUCACAUAUCACAUGAGAAAAGAAACAUGAUCUCUUUUAGCAUAUCUUUGUUGGAAUUCCAAUGCUACAUAAUCUCUAUUUCUAGAAAAUGGUUGCUGCAUAACUCUCCCAAUUCCACCUCUCCUUUCUCUCUUAGCAUAUUAAAAAGUUUCUAUUUUUAGAAUAAACAAGAAAAAACUUUAGUUACAGCCAACCAUGUAUGCAUGAGUAAAAUUGUCUUCUUUUCAAUUUUAUGAGGUAGCAGUAUGAAUGAUGCUGCUACAACAAACACAUCAGGUCAACAUUUAAGAUGAGCCAUAACCAAGAACAGACCUACUAGCCCAUAAGCUUACGGAGGCACAUAGUUGAAUUUAACCGCUAGAGAAAUAUAUAUAUGGCUAAUGUUAAGAAUUCAAAAGGGUAAGAGAUGAAAAGCAAUGUGUCUGAAUUUGAAGUGACAUAUCAUGCACCAAAAAGACAGCAAAACUAACCAAAACGUAAUGCAUAAUGACAGAUGAACUACAAUGAUGAUGACAUUAGAUUCAGCUUUAUGAAAAUAGAGUCAUUCUUUUUAAGUAGACUAGGUGAAAGGAAAUUUCUGAAGCACAGAAGAGAGAUUCCAUGGUCAGAGUAGACCAUAUUUUUAUCAGAUAGUUGGAUCAGCACCUCAGAACACAUUCGUGCAGUUAUAAUCAAGCUCCCAAAUAUGCAGCUAAUUUGCAGCAACAGAGUUGUUAUAAGAGAUGCGAGCAAGCAAGGACCAGUCAUAUGUAUGGAGUCCUGGUAACAAUAAUCUUGAAACAAUUUCACUGUAUCAAGAAAAGGCUCAUCAUAAAACAUUGAAAUUUAAAGCAUAAACUUUACUUAUCAAAACGGAGUGCUUCUUUACCAACUCAACAUAUUUUCAAUAGACAAGAUCAUCGAAAUUUGGCUGUCUUCAAGAUAGAUAUUGUCUGGAAUAGGAAAAACAGCAGUUUGAAGGACGAAAUCAAGGCCAAAAUGUUAAUGAUAAUUAAAUUUAUUCUAUAACAAUCUAAAACCUUUUAGACUAAUCUUCCAUGAGAUUUUUUUAUUCAAUUUAAAGCCUUUCAACUUACAAGGAAACCACAAACCCUUGCCGAUAUAAGAUGAUUACAUGCAUACCAAUUUGUGGUAGUUAUAAUGAGGAAUAGCGAUCACAUUUACAGAAUGGGGUGCUACUGCAGUCUGGUGUUCUAGUAAACUACUAUAGAUUGGCUUUUACAUAUAGCUGAUUCCAGUAUCCUGCAUGCCCAAGUAGGUGCUUUGCAUAUGUUGACCAGCCACCACUUGUGGGCAUUCAAAAUGGUACAACUGGUGUUAAUUUUUUCAAACAUUUCGCAUAAACUGAAGAACAGCACAAUGUUACUGGGAAGACCACCAUAUCACCAGUUUACACAAUUUUACAAAUGAGAUGUUCAUAAGGGUUACUACAAUUAACAUAUAAAAUAAUAGCCAGAUGAUUGUUACAAUCAUGUACUUUCAUCCUUCACAAUAGUGGUCAAUUAUCAAGAAUGAUGAAAAAGUAACAAAGAACUUAGCCAUUGAAAGUUAUAGAAGCUUAUUUGAUAAUGACACAAUGUUAAGCAUUGUGAAUCGUUAGCAUGUGAAUAAUGGACUAGUCAAAUGUGUCAGCUCAUUGCAUUGUCACUGCAGCAAUAAGAUCCAAAAAGGAGGAGACUGAUUAUUUACCUAAUGCAAGCAUUCUCUAACAAUUGUAGUCUAAUGUAUAUGCAAAACAGCAGCUUUUCCACUUAGAUGUAGAAGAAGACAACACCAAUUCAGAUUAACACACCAAAAACAAAAUAGACCGAUGUUUUAUAGCUAUUUAAAAAAUUCCAAUUGGUUCCACUUAUUAGAUGUGUAAAGCAUGAUAAUAGGACUCUUGAGAAGAAGGGUUAUGUUUGACUCAUUUAUUUUUCAUACUGUCAUGAACACUGCCAAUGACAAUAUCAAGCCAUGAAACAUGUGUCACUGACAUUAGACUAACAACCAGUCACAAACAGAAGCUGAAACUAUGAAAGAAGUAUUAAUUUAAUAAGUUUUGAAAGUAAGGAACCAUAAAGCAAGCUCCAAAUACUUAAUAUAGUCAUGGAACUAAUAUAGUCAUGGUUCAGCACCUCCUGAAUAACUCAUGCUUAACUAUGUACUGAUAUGAGUCAAUGAUUUGUUAUUAGAUAAUACUAGUACUAGUCAUCUAACUCUUUCAAUAAUGACCGGUUGUACACUGCAGAUAGCUGAAAAUGUUGGGUCAUCUGGCAAAAAUAAUAUUAUAGAAAUUUGACAAAUGAGUUCCUUACAUGCAGCAACCCCAUGUCUUCUUAGUUAUGCUCAUAAUUUUAGCAUGGUUUCUGCCUAUAAAAUUCAAAUUCAUUUAAGCAAUCUAUACGACUAAAGAAAUGCUAAUUGGCUCCAAUAAAGAGAGGUGCUUUAAUUUAUGUUGAAGACUGUAGGAAAAGGAGACGGAAAGAAUUACGAUAAAGGUUGCAAAGGAAGACAUGGAGAAGCUUGGAGUAGCAUUAAAGAU